rnacentral:lncRNA from 1 species
CUCGAAUAGCUUCAUUUCAAUGUUAGGAUGACCCGCAAGGUCGUCUAAAAUAGCUUCCACCUAUCUAGUUUCCAUGUGGCACGCCAACCACAAUCACUUCAUCCCUUGGCUUCUUUAUCAUAGCUGCCUACCUCUUCAGAUCAAGGAUCAAAGACUACAGGAGCUCAAAGUUAUUGUCGCACACUUCCAUCUAGGAGAUGCAUGUUAAGCUAUCCCUUGGAUUAUAGCCUAGGAGAUCGAUUGGCAGGCCUUGUUCUAUGAAAAGAGUAUCCUUAUGGUUUAGGAACCCCAACAUCUAUUGAAAAGUAUGAUGCACCCAUCGGUUUACCAACAUUUCCAUUCAAUCUCAUUUAGAUUCUAUUAACUAACAAGCCGGGAUCCAAUUCCAUUUCAACCGCUAAGGUCAUUAACGAACUAGAAAAGAGCUAAGGAACUAUUUCCAGAUACCUAAUCGGGUGCUGAACGAACUACUAUUUCAAUAUGUCAUUGCAAUUUCAAAUGGGUUUCGAUGGCACUCAAGCAGCCUCACUACUUUGAUCUCAGUAACCUAAUGAUCUCCCCAAACCAACUCAUUCUCGGAAGGAGACAUGGCCAAGGGUGGACAAGAUAUGAUGGCUGAGAAUCUCUAUUCCUACAAAAUAACAUGAUUCACAUGCUCAAUACCCAGGACGGUGGUUCCUCCCGCCUGGCAGGUCUAAGAAUACAACCCCUGCGACACAGUUGAAACCAAUUGUCUCUCACUCCAAAGAUGGACCCUCUGUUCCUUUGAAAUGCCUUUGAUACAUCAAUUCUGCACUUUUGAAAGUGAAGAUCUAGGUCCAAGAGGAAUGAAAUGAGCAUACCAGGAGUUGUCUAUUCACAUGUCAUAUGAAGAAUACUUAUUUUCAGAGAGUGCCUCCAGGUUCUCUAGUAGCUAUAUGAAACCACAACUCUGUACUAGCCAAGAGGCUUCGGUACUAACCAACACACCAGGAUUCAAAGAUGCAAAAAUAAAAAGGAAGAUAAUACCACUGCUGUAGAUGCACGCCCUUCUCUUAGUUGAGAAGAACACAAGUAAGAAAGUCUAGAAAGUUCUGAGACUGGGGUAGGUGAAUCCAUUGACCUUGACGUAGGGCUUUCCCCUCCACCCGAUGGUGAUUGACUUACUGAAGACCGGCCCUAAGCCAUUAAUGAAUUGAGCCUGGUGAACCAUUGAUAUAGCACUCUGCGGGGCGAAGGCUAUGCUUAUCACGAUAGUUUACAUAAGCUCUUUCCUGACCUGGAAUAGACGAAUCCUAACAAGAUUCAAGACAUAUGCGGAAUGAAACAACAUCUACUCGAAUUUCAUUCACAAAGCCAUCAAGGCGGCGCUCAAGAGAGGUUGUUAUCUACCUAAUGCCAUCCCUUUGAUCAGAUUGUAAUGGCAGUAGCCCCGGUUUCACAGGUUUCGAUACCCCAGCAAUGUGCAAGAACAUCCUCGAAAACGUCUGAUGUGACUUCACCUGAAAGUGCAUCUAGAACCGCUCCUAGUGCUGAUUUAGAUGAUGUAGGAACGAACAAAGAUUGUGGUGCUGAAACAAACGGACAACAGGAUCUGUCCUCUAUUGGCGUUUGAUAGCUCAUUGCUACCUCGCCGGAGAGAUGGGGAGAUAGACUCUGACCCAGAUCUCGCUAUAGCCGCCAACGGAUCAAUUCAUUAAGGGUACACCUAGGAAGGGAAGAAUUCUCAAUUAGUUCAUUGAGUUUGGGAAAGGAUGCCAGUUUGGAAUAGUUGGUGGAGCAUGGUGAAACGCACUCAUUUGGAGUGGUUGAAACAGAAACAUACUCGAGAGCUACUCGUCUUCCUAAAAGCUCUAGCAAUGCAAGACCUGUCCUAAUGCAAUAAAUACUGGUGCUCUCGAACUCAAUCAGCACAGGUACAGGGCCAGGUGUUUCACCAGCUCUUGGUACCAUCUCUUGUGCCCCACCUGUAUAGCUAGGGUUAAGUAACCCAUUCAGGAGAAGAUAAGAGAAACACCAUCUGGAAAGGCAAGAUGAGCUUGGGUAUUGUUGUGCCAGGCGCCCACUCAUCAAUGCUGGUGAUUGGCCUUGUAUGGCUGCCCCAUCCCUUUCAGCAGAUGUACUACCUUUGAAAGCAUUGUCGAAUAUCUUAAUGCGGGAGUUUAUAUGGAGAAGAAACGAUCUUCCGCCUAGAUUAACUCAUUAGAAUGAAAUGGUGAGUUUCCACGAGGAGUUCUGGGAUGGUAAAAGGGGUGUAGAUAAAAUAGUCUGUGUGGAUUUGAGUCAUAGUAUCCACUAUGUAUCUACUCCACGUCUAUGGAAUACAUUAAAAUUUCUACACAAUCUGGGGGUGAUUUCGCAUAUCUUGAAGGAAUUUCUAUCUCUCCUGAUAUAUAAUGCCGACACUAACCUCCAAAUUCCUCAUUCGAAUUGUAUACCAUUGAUAGGUGAAUUGAGUGACGUGCUCCUACAUCUCUUUUUGCAACAUCAAUUUGAUAGGGAGGUCCUGAGCCGGUAUGAAGGUGUUCUUUAUACAAGAUGGGACACCAAUGUCCUUCUAGCUUCAACACGCUAUGAUUCAUAUCAUCUUGACCGUCCUCAAAUUCUAGACAUCUUAAGGCACGUAAAUCUAAAUGGAUUUAUUUCCGUGAUCGAACGUGGUGGCGGGGGCAUGCACGUGAACCCUGAGAAAUCUCAGAUAUUCCUCAGUGCAGAUGGUGAUGUUAGUAUCCCUCAACUAAGCGAAGGUGAGACUGACUAUGAUAGUGAAUGAUUCCGGGGAAUUGGAUAGAGUAACCUAUUCAUAAUAAUGAUGAGUAUCCCCGGGGGCAUCUCCUACUUUGUGAAGUAAGGUUCAAAGAAAGGGAGAGAAGAGAUAGAUGGAUCUGAACCUGGAACCAAAGGGAUCUGCGAAAGGGAUUUUGAAGAAUCUUACGUCCUUGAGAAUAGUAAAAAGAUAGGAAAGGGAAGUAAUGUCAAACCUAAAAAAGAAUAUGGCACGAGAGAUUGAAUAUAGGGAGGAAUGAAUCGGGCAUCAAGUAAACUAAGGAAUCAAGGAAAGUAAGACUUGAGGAUGGAAGGGAGGAAGGAACCAAUAAGCCACCGUCAGUGUACCAGUCAUUGGGACAGGUGCCGUGUGUUCGGUCUACCUGCCUUUAGUAUGACCCGGAUGAAAAGAUGCUGACUUUUCUUAAAGGUUAGGCCAAAUGAUUCUAAGCUUGAGGACCCAUUCUAUCCGGGCCUAAAUGCUGGAGUUUCAGAAUUCACUCUACUUCUUACUGACCUUCGCCGAAUAUAUCCUAUGUGCUUAACACAUUGACGUCGGCGGCUAAGCUUUCUUUCUAAUGGUAAGCUGGGGAUCUAAUAGUCCACUUCACCCUAUCAAACUUGACCUCGAUAUAGGUUGCUUUUUGAUGACUAGUUAAUAGAAUAAACGGUAUCUAUUAUUUUCUACCUCCUCUACCUAGAUCUCCUUUUCCUAAGGAGGGAGAGAAGACGGUUCUCCGGGACGGAAGACAUCUCUCACUCGUACAUAUAUGGAUGGGUUUUCUACCUCAGAAAGGGAUGAAACUGAGCAGCAGAGAUUGCUAAAAUAGCAAAGGGGAUCCAGAUUAUUUCAGAACUCCAACUGAAUGAUGCUAUACUCGAAUCUGAUUUUGCUGCAGCUUGACAAGGACCUGUGAAAAUGCUGAUAUCUCGAAUCCCUAUCUUAUUAAAAUGGGGUAGCUUUACUGAAGUACUGCAAGAAAAGUAUGGAAAAAAGCAUAGUUGGUACUUCUUAAUGUGGUACGUAAGCUGGUUAUCCUGACUAACAAUCAUGCCUUACUUGGAUUUAGGGAUUAGGAAUUCUUAUUGGGAAAGAGAUUGGAUUGGCAUUCAAGUAGGAGUAGAUCCUAUUGGUCCAAAGUAGGCAUUCUUGUAUCAAUUAAAGUAGCUAUCUUCAUGAAAUAAGCGCUAAGAUUCUAGUUCAAAGAUAGGAGCAUUAAGCUCUAAAUCCAGUAAGUCCAGCUGGAAGUUUCACUAACUACUUAGGGAACUAGGGAUCAGACCAGAGUUAUGACUGGUGUAUUCCAUUCCUACCGUAAUUGAGACUUGCCCUCGCUCGCGGGUGAUUCCUUAUAGCUUGAUCCAUGUGAUGGCUGUUCUCUGCAAUGAACCACAACAUGUCCAUGGACUUCACAGAGAAUUGAGUGAAUGCAAUAAAAACCAAGAAAUGACAUAGCGAGAACUGAGCAACUCGAAAAGCUCGGACUUCGUAUACAGAAAGUAGAACUAAAAGCAGAUGAGUAGAGAUUGAAUCGAGCAUAGAAAUAGGAGAGUUUUGCUUAGCACUGUUCGGUUCGUCUUUCUUUACAAGUCAAUCUAUGCAUAAUUCUAUUUCUUGCAGCGCUGAAUCCGCUUUUGAAAUACAGAUCAGGGGCGGUAUUCUUAUUCCUUGGCUCGCCACUUAUGAAACAAAACUAGAUAUUUCUUAUUAUUUUCCUAGGAGCUGAGCUCCGCAUGCUGUUCGAUUAAGAUGCGACAAAACCUUAUCCAUUAGUCUUGGCGAUGCCAGGGAUGGAGGGAGUCAUCAGUCGCACAAGCUUAUUGCUAAAGCCAAGACAGGACAUAAUAGCUUCUAAGUAAUGCCAUUGUACCUGCUUUCAUCAUGCCCAACUCAAAAACAAUUUAUCCCAUACUUCUUCUUUUCUUGUUCCUUCGUAUGAAUAACAGGAAUCCCAGUUCGGAUGGUUGACCAACAUUAUGAUUGUGUAUGAACUAGGGCUUUGGCUCAACACCUGCUGUCUUUCUUGCCCAUCCUUUUGUGGUAUCGAAGCUGUUCAUUGAGAUCCAUAGGUUCACGUUACAACCCACCAAUAGUCGAUUCCAGAGCGGAAGGCGAAAAAGAUAGGACGGGGACCCUUCGGAAGAAGGUAUAUGCCCGUAGUAUCAGGAAAAUAUUCAUGGUUGCAAGAGCGAGGUUAGUCAUCCUCACCAUCACCAUCAAAUACCGGUACUCGCUUUUUCUACAAGCUUGAUUUACGAACUCGACCUUUCGCAGGAAGGUAGUUCCGUAUACCAUCAAUGGAGUCAAACCGCUAGAGGGUCACAUAUAUCUAAAUACUAGUUCCGAUCAUACCAUUACUUACUUCCGUGGAGAUACGAGAAAGGGGGAGAAGACGCGAUUAUGUAUCAUAAAUACUAAGGCCAGACAGACUAAAAGGGGCUUUUGGAUACGAAGAAGGUUUUCACGUCUUGCUUUGGGUGGUAUGCUUCCUCACUGUUGUUAUUCUGCCCUUUCCCGGUAGUCAACCACCAACGAACGCAAGGAGAUCUGGACCUGCAUGUAAUGUUUUUUGCCAAUACUCUAAAGCAGCUUCCUUACAUCAACAUGGGAUUGCAAAAGGGAGGGACUUGAAAAAGGCGAUUCCUCCUUAGUAGGAAUAGUAGCUGAGGCUGCUUCAACUCAUAACGAAGAUAUUCUAGCACAUAAGUCCGGGAUGAUCUGAGGUCGCUGGUCUCACAUGGAAGAGAUACAAGCCUCCGCUGGAUAAACACCAGAACAGGUAUCGGCUUCUUUUGUUCGUAAUGAACAAGCAAUGGAUUGGGGAUUGCCAAUAGAAAAAGAUACAACCAACCAGCAGAUUUUGAAAACCAGGAUCACCCCCAUUGUAAAGAGAACACGACACCCCUUUCCGUAGGAGCUCGCAAAGGUAUUAUACUGGAUGUGCGUAGAGAGCUAAUGAAACUCCAUUCCUUUUUCUCUAUACUCAAGGAUCUGAUAUAGCUUGCUUUUCCAAGAGUAUUGUAUUGACCUGAUUCCCCAGGAAAGAGUUGAUGGCAUCUCAACGCAAGAAGGUAGAGAAGAAUCCCUAGCGAAGAUGUGCCGAGAGCGAGAAAGCCUGUCUUCCCCGAGAUUAUUUAUUCCUCUUAUUUCUUAUAUGAAUAACUGAAAUCAAUCCUCACUUGUAUUAACUUCAUGAGUAAAGAGAUAGAGAAACCCUCAAUACCGGCACUGCUCCAAUCAAAAUCAAAUAAUUGGAUUUGUUUCCCCACUUCCUCCACGGGAUUCGUACAUCGGAUGAGGAUUCCUACAACGGUACAACGGAUCAAUCCAUUCAAAUCAAUGAAACCAUUAGGUACGCCCCGGGAUCUACUCUAUUUUUAGAUUUGCUAAUGUCGAGAUCCGAUGCGAAAGCAAAGCGAAGGUUGUUAUUCAAUAGUUGUUCCCGAUAAAGGAACAGCAGAACGGGUAUCUUUAGCAAAGCAAUUUGGAUUGGUUGAAUCAUAUUGAGUUCCGGUCUUCUAUAUUGUCUUUCAACCCUUGCUCUUGCCUUGGCUUCGCCUUCCACCUUCAGCUAAGCACCUAACCCGUGGGACGGGACCUUCGGUCUAGCCUUUGUUCGGGUAUGGGACCGACCUGGGAUUCUUCCAUCCGAGUGAGUACCGCCCUUCUGAUUUGGUUUGAGUACGGGACCGACCUUCUCUUUUGUUUGUAAUUGGGCUUGCCCGAAACAAAGGAACUUUGGUGUGAGAACCCACCCGAGUUGGUAACCCAACGUUUUCACCUACGAUUUCUCCCUCGUCUUCUUUGCCUAGCCUUUAGCUUCUUUCUUGUCUGAUCUUAGAUUUCACUGUUAGGAAAUAGGGCAUUACCCGUCACUCUGCCUUUCUAAGAAGGCCUUUCGCUUAGUUGUCCUUUCUACUAGAACUUCCCUUUAGCAGUUCUAGAACAUCUAUAGUAUGCUUGAAUGUCGGCAAUUUUUCUAUAUUCUCUUCCUCCUCGUCCAUUAGUCCAGUUCCUUUCCUUAGUGAAAUCUGCCCCCCUCCAUCUUUCGAGAACAACAAGAGGGCAUUCUCAAGCAGACAUAUUCUUCUUCACUUCCUAAGAAGGCAUUUUCUUGCUAACAAGCCAUUCUGGCAAACAAAAGAGCUACUUCUAUCAAAGAGGAGCAAAGGCUAAGUGAAACUCCUCCCUUCGUGUCUUCUUCCUUUCCAAGCUUGUUGCGGGGAAUCUGGGCUCUUUUUCAGCCCCUAAGGACUGCUACUUUGAUGAAUGAGGCCUGACGGUCUUAAUUCCUAAUGCUACUCCUACUGAUAUUGCUAUUGUUACUGCUUUUGGGAAUUGGCAUCUUUCUUCAUAGGGGCCUAGCCAAGGAAAGCUUUCCCAUUAAAUGAAUGUGCUUGCGUACUCUUCGAUUCCUGCGGGAAGUGUGGGACUAAUUGAAUUUCAUUCUUGUCUGCUAACAGAAUUAUUCUUCCUUACAGCUUGCAUUCGAUGCAUCCACCGUACUAAGAGCUCCUUCUUGAAGAACCGAUUCUGUACCAACCCCAAAGGUGAAUCUAUCUAAAUAAACCUAAAUAAAACUCCCAUUAUGAUUUGAGAUUGCCUUGCCGUUGCGCCCCUUGCCUUUCUAACUGGAUUUCCAGUUGAUGGGGAAGGCUUGGAAAAGAAGCUUGUGUCGGAAGAGAAGUGGAAACUAAGCUGUUCAGGCUUAACUUAAACCUGAUUGCCCUAGUAGGAGUCAGAAUAAGGUUGAGGCUUGAAGACAAGCAACUGACAUCUCGGAUCUUGCCAUUGCCAGGAGCAUGGAAGCCCAGAAUGCCCUCAGUCUAUGUCUGUCUAUAUAGGCUUUAAGGAAAAAGGCAAGUAAGCCGUAAGCCAGAAAUCAAGGCUUUUGAGGACCUUCGACAGCUUAUAAAUAAGCUAAUAACAGAUCUUUUGCGUCUUUCGAGAUGCAAAGAGAAGUAAGAAGGUUUACUAUUGGGAUAACGAAGAUAUGACCAUAUUUCAGAUCGAUUUUCAACAGACGAGAUCGGAUAGUAGAAUAGAGAGAAGGAUUUGCUGCUUUCUUAAAAUGAUAGAGAGUUAGGAGAGGGUCUAUGUGAAUAGAGCUCUUUAGAUAGGGAGAGGAAAGACGUAACUAGACCGCGAAAAGAAUAGAAUCUUUUACCGCUACAUCCGCUGGAGAAGAAAACUCAGCAAAGGAGAUUCCUAUCCUUUCUCUAGUUGAAGACUAAUUUGGAUAUUCCCAAAGAUGCUUGACUUCGAGUUCUUGGAGUGACAGCUUUCUUUGUAAACAAGGGUCCCUUACUCUAUUACUUUUCCACUUCAUUGAUCUGAAAGAAGUGACAGAAGAAAGCUACGUGCAUAUACCCCUGCCCCGGGGGAACAAGUGCCACCUCAACAGCUCUAUUCUAAAUCGUUAAGCCUCACAACCCUUUCCUUUGUAUCGAACCUUUCCCGCUUUCCUUCCUCACUCAAACUUCAAAAAGUCCUUCCAUGAAUCUAGGGAAGGAAAACCACCUCUGACUUCACCAAGUCUCCCUUUCUUUGGUCGAAGGCUUCAGGUCAAGAUCCUUUUUCCUAUCUAUUGAAGAUGCAAAGAGAGAUGCUUCUUCCUCUUCAAGUUGGAAGUGCAAGAAGAAAUGUGGUAAAUAGGAGUUCCAUCUACCACGCACUCGCCCCACACUCCAGCUAACUUCAGCAUCCAUACUCAGCUAGGAGGAAGGUGUCGAGGACACUAUGAACACACAUGUACUUGGUUGACUUCACGUCCCGUCUCACAACCGGGUAAGAUCAAAUAAACAAACAGCUUGCUUGCCCAAUCCCUAUUGAGAGGAUUUCUUGAGCUUGAACUUCCUUUUGUAGCUCCGCUCACAAGGACUUCUUUUCAUCCGCAAUGAAGCUUAUACCACCACUUGGUCAGUAAGGCCUGAUUCAAAAAAAGAUCAAUCACCCCCUUCCCUACUUCAAUGGAAAAGGGGGAAUCGCCCUUUCACAGCCGCCCCUCCACAAAAUUUAUACCUAUCCUUUCGCCUAAGAUGAUCAUGAAAAAAGAUAGAGAAUUACGUAGAUAGGAGGAGGAAACGAACCAACCCGAAAAAACAAACAAAAGGGAAUGAGAGAAAUGAUCGGAACGAUUGAGGAAAGAAAGAGAAUGGCGGCCCCUUUCCUUUCACCCAGGGGGCAUCGUCAUCGGGGACAGGCUUCGAGGGUUCUUCCAUAUCUAGAUAUAGAGAUAGAUGAUGAUAGAGAUCUAGAUCUUUCUAUAGAUAGAUCCUUUGAGAAAUUUCUAUUGAUCCGCUUUCAAGAUCUAUGAACAAGAGAGAUCCACAAAAUCUCCAUGUAAAAAAAAGAGAUGAAUAGAUAGGGCUGAGCCGAUAGCAGGACUGGAUACAAUGAUGGGGCGAGAGAGCGAAAAAACCCUUCAGGAUGGAUCGGGAAAAGUGACCUCCGGCUCAGCCGACGACUUCCUUCCCUUCGUAUAGCUCAGGUAACUCCCUUCCGCCUUUUUUCCCAGAAUGAAUUAGCCCGACACGACGAAUCCUGCCCUCCUGUCUUUCUUUCUCAUUGAAUGAACCACUGCCUGGGAUGCCCCUAUGCCUAUGAAUUCAAUGAUUUAAGGGCCCCGGGAGGAAACUUCGAAAAGAAAGCCUACUGGUUGGUCUGGUUGUCCCCCGGCGGUGCCCGAGAGGGCCUCGGUUGAAUCUUGCCGAUUCUACCUAGACAUGGCUCAAAAUAAAGGGGUAAGGCCAAGUGCUCUUAAAACAAAACUCGAAGUGCACACUUCAGAGCACGGUCUUCCGUUAGGUCCUUUACGGACGACGAAAGCCCCUUGGCUAUACUCUACUCUUCGCCUCCGGCUGUUCUGUUCUUUUCUUUUGGCUCGGCGGAGCUGAGCUGGGUUCCAUUACACUCUGUAGGAAAUGCAUAGACAGUCCACGCAGCAAACCGAGGCCCUGCGUGCGCCGUACGUACCACCUACAAAUAAUAGGUAGCCCCACCCCAUGCAGAGUUUGUGAGCCGUGUAAUAGGCGACCAUUUCGUGUGGUUCGGGGGGCACUUGAAUAAGCCACCGACACCCGGCUGUGUCUUUACCCCUAUCCAAUUUUUGGGCCAAUUCCCCCUUCGUACUACCAAAAACUGAGAUUCUUGCCGAAUCCGAGUUUGCUGCCCCAGCCAUUACAAAACUAAUACCUAUUCUGUUUAGUACUUCAGGUGCUUCUCUAGCGUAUAAUGUAAAUCUCGUAGCGGAUCAAUUCCAACGAGCCUUUCAAACUAGUACUUUUUGUAAUCGACUCUAUAGCUUCUUCAAUAAACGCUGGUUCUUCGAUCAAGUUUUGAAUGACUUUCUAGUCAGAUCGUUCCUGCGUUUCGGAUAUUCAGUCUCAUUCGAAGCUUUAGACAAGGGUGCUAUUGAGAUAUUGGGCCCUUAUGGUAUCUCGUACACAUUCCGACGAUUGGCCGAGCGAAUAAGUCAACUUCAAAGUGGAUCUGUUGUGCGAAGAGUGCGUUAUGAACCGUGGCCACCUACCUGCUUUGGUUGGUGGGGGCGGCUCCUCCGUUGUGGGUAAACGGGAAACCCGACUCUACAAACCUGAGGAAAGGCUGCACAGCUUCCGUAGGGGCGUUAAGACCAGAGCUUUUUGUAGUGCUAGCAGGAAUGCAAGUGAACGAAUCCAAUCCCAUCCCCUUUAAAAUCGGCGAGGUAAUACCUUAUUGAAGUAGGGCACGCUACGGCAACACAGGACUGACGGGGUGGGGGCUUGCUAUCUACUUGGCGAGCCUUCAUUGCCCCCUUCUGUAACUUCCCUUCUUUCGUCCGUCCACGAGGCAGUCAAAAGAAAGAGAGAAAGGGGCGGCUAUAAGACAGGAGUCGUGGCGGUUGUAUGCCACAAGGUCCCUAUAGACAAGGGGACAAGUGAAUCAUCGCUUUUGGGCGCAGGCAGCCCUCUACCAUCCAUCCCAUUGCAUUCCUCUCGUAGAGUACUGUACCGUCUCAGACCAGAUACAUCUAUGGAAAGAAAGGAUUUCAUAGAAAAUCUGCAUUUUUCUAUUUUUUUAUCCCCAUGCAUUCCGUUAUUCCCGUAACUAUGGAUUGAUUGUCCCUACCUAACUAAAUGGUAGUGGUCUAGGGAGCGCAAUUGCUAGAGCACGGGAGAAUGAAGAGUAAUGAUUUAAGCAAGAGCAGCCGGACGGACUACUAUAGUCAGUCUAGUGACUACUAUAGUCUUUUCUUUCUUUGUAGUUAAGUAAUAAUGUUUGGUAUAGCAGCCUUUCCGAUCGAAUCUCUGGGAUCUCCUGUAAACCCCCAUGAUGUGGUAAAGGGAGGAUAUUAGGGGAAGCAGUGAGUGGAGAUUCCCCUGCGGAGAGCCGGAUGAGGGGAGACCCUCACGUCCGAUUCGGAGGGCAGGGAUAUCCCGACCCUACUAUCAUUAUGCCUUUGCAAUGUUACUUGGUUCAACUCCAUUUGUGACCUUUUCUCGUAUGUGGGACUCUCUAUCUUCUUGGGUAGAUUCUAGAUCGUCUUUCAUUUGUUAGUGAGUAGUUUUCUUAUUAAUAAGUCAAGUCAAGAGUAAUAAGAGAACUGUAGGAGCUUGCCAGGGCGGCUUGGUAAGCAAGCUACCUGUUAUGUAGGCGCCAACUCCCAGUUCUUUCUCUUCUUUCUUUUUGAUUUUUUAUUCUCGUUUUUUACUAAACAUAUAAUCCCCUUUCCGGGGAAGGGGUAACAUAGAGGGAGGCACAUGUAGACAGAUACAGACUUUUUCAAUCUUUUGCCUAAGCGAAGUAGUUGAUCCCUCCGAGGUAAGGGCGAAUCGAGACCGAAAGCUACUAAUAAAAUAGCAUAAUCUGAACACAUAGCUGAACACAUAGUUUAAGUAGAAACUGUUAAAGCUCCUUGGUCUCGAAACGGCCGGCUUUGGUUUAGCUCUCGGGGCCACCUUACACACUAAUAAAAUCGUCAUCUUCCUUCCCCACUCAUCGCCCUCACUUUAAGACAAAAAAUACAAUUCAAUUCAAAGAUCGGAAUCAUACCUCCAGCAGGCAAGGCCGGCUCAAGAAAUGGAAGUUGUGAGAUGGAAAGAAAACCACAAAAAAAUAACUGAAUUAGGGAUCAAUCCAUACGCGGCUUGCCUUCUCCCCUUCCCCAUAGUAAGCCACCCAAUAGAAUAGUACCCUAACUUAAGAAGUUCUCUUAACUAGCGCAUGUCCAUUAAUGUGACCACCGCAUGCUCCUGCAUGAGUUCCAUGAAUGGUUUGUUUUCGAAUCCUAUCUCUCUGGGGAAAGGUAUCUUUUUUCAAUUCGAACAAUGGUAUCCCUACCUGGCAAACUAUCCUCGUUUUCGAAGUCCCUAGUUUUGUCCUCUGCUGUAGUAUUCCCGUUAGUAGACGGCUUCCUUCAUCGGAAAUCUAGCCAGUGCUUUCCAUUAGGUGUACAACGAAGGAUAGCCUUGCUUUUCUUCUGAUUCCGAUUCAGUCCAAAGAUAGAGACAAAAGAAAGGUAAUUAUUGAAUCGGACUUGGCUUCUUUUUCGGCAUGGGCAAAGGUUUGGCAAUUCCACCAUUAGCAAAGGUUUAAUCGGUUGAUGGUAUCCUUGGCGAAAGGCACCUGGUGAGAGUAGCUGCUGCUGCUGUGCUACCUCCAACUAUGAAGUUCAGCACAUGAACAAUAUAGAGUACUUUGUUUCCAAAAACAAUACAUAGAACAAGACCACAAGAAAACAAUUUAAAAGAACUACUUUUAGGCAGCAGCAUCUGGACAACAGGCUUAAAAGCUUCCAGAAAAAUGAUAGCACAGACAACCGAAACAAUUUUCCUAAUAUUUCUUUGACUUGACCUUUUUGCAGUACAUCUAACAGCAUAUAGGGGAAUGCCUUUUUUAUAUUACAUUUGCACCAAACCAAGCUAUUCUUAAUACUAAAUCCUUUGCAUAGAUACUUUCCAAAGUGCUGAGAAUAGCAACAGAGAGAAAACGCUGCAGAAGAUAUCACAAUUGAAUUACUAACCUGGUACUUGUUCAUAGAUUUUCUAGUAUCUUCAAUAAGCUUUGAUUCUUACUCAAGUAGUUUGGUUUGUAGUGUAGUUUUUUUUCUUGACUCUAGUAGUGUAGUUAGCAUGCCUUCCGUUCCUUGCUUGCUUAUGCACUUUUGAAUUAAAGAUGACCUUUCAAUUCAUUAUUAACUGGAUAAAGUAGUAUUAGUUAAUAUACACUGAUUCAGACAAAUCAAAAAUAAGAGACAAUCUUUUUCGAUACUGUAUGCUGGGACAGACCUGUAGGUGAGCACAAGCACAGCCAACCUUCCACCUCUUUAUACUUAUGUUUAGCAGUGUACCUGGUCUUACUUCUUUUUUAGUUUACGCUUGUGUCCCAAGCUUGCAAGUUCGAAGAAGAGUAUUGUAUUGACCUGAAUCAAGUUGUUUGCCUACCCACUGUUAUGUCUUAGCUAGGAAUGAGCUAUGAACAAAUAGAAAUAGUUGUUACUUGAGUCGAUAAUGACUUUGUGUCGUUUUGCUAUUUUCUAUAAAUCGGACUGGUACCAUGUAUUGUAACAUAAGGUUUUGUAUAAGAGCUGAGAUGUAGUUAAGAUUACACUGGAUCCUCUCUCUGUUUUGUUGCUUCCUUCCAUUAUCUCCAACAACUGGUAUCAACACUAGGAACCUUCACGGUUAGGGUUGAUUUUCUUAGACCACUAUGAACACUUGUAAUUGGUUCUUUCUACUUCAGGCAUGGUUCUCUCUAGUUAGUGGAAGAGUGUACAACAUGGGGAUUGGUAUCAGUCACACAUUUAGGAAAGAAAGUGAAAGGGGAGGGCAAGAGCGGUUCGAAGGUCAAUGAAAUGAUAAAAAACCACCAGGUCGAGUUCGCUUCUCCCUUCCAUUUGGUGUUUAGGAUGUGAAGUUUAUAUAAGAAGAGAGGAAAGGGGAACUGUGCUAAAUGGAUAAUUUCAUCCAGGUGAUGGGCUAUUCCAAUGGGCAUGCAUCUGAGAUAUGGGCUUUGAGCGUAGGAACACCCACCUUUACAAGGGCUCAGUUCUAAGAUUGUUUGCGCGCAUGCACCACUACUAUUUUGUCUUUUCUUGUUAUGCAUCCGGUCCUAGAAAUCUUUUUUUUGACUAGAGGAAGAGAAAUAAAAACGUCACUUCACUCGCCUUGGGGGACCUAGUUAGGAGCUGAUUGAUUUCUUUAAUAGAUAUGAAGAUGCCUUGAAUGAACCCAAGCAAGCCGAAAUAGAAUACUAUAAGUAUGAAGUGGACAUCUAUGGUUUAAUUGGAAACAUCUAUGGUACCUUUGCGGCAGAGCGAGCGCCUUGACUAAGAUAGAUUGACUCUUUCAUUUUUUAUUUUAUUUUAUUCUAGUUCCAAUCGUUUGAGGAAAACCCCCUUUGGCAUCAAUGAAACUCUGUUAUAUAGGAGUUCAAAAACCUCAUUUCGUGUGAGAGAUAGUGGAAUUUCUUCUUUCAACACGUACAUCAACGAGGGUGUCGAUGACUUGAGUGAGGAAUGGUCAUGUGCUAGAGGCCGUACCUUUGGAGUAAGACCUCAACAAGGGGGUGUGCAGUUUAAAUGUAAAUGACGAGCAUGGAGAGGCCAAGGUCAUUUGUAAUUAGGUGUGGCUGAUGCAAGAAGACUGGCGAGCUGUCCAUGGUGAGAAAAGUUGUGAUGCUACUGCAGGGGGCAUCUUGGUGUAGUUGAGGGCGCAGAACUUCUAUGCGGGUACAACUGGCACUUAAAAGACCUUCCAUGUAGAUGAAUUCUCUUGAGUGAGACUAAUCGAGUUAUGAAGAAACCUUUGCGAUGGUGAUGUGCAGUUGGGUUCUCUAUGGAGGAACUUCGUUGUGGGGACCAAGGGGUCUUCUUAAGAAGAGUUGCUUUGAUGAAAAGAGUGUAGCCAUGAUGGCAAGUCAAGGUGGGGCCCUGUGAAGGCAAGCCUUGUGUAUGUUGGCAUGAUGACGAGAGAAAGGAAAUGCCCAGGAACAAUAGCUGUCCCUAGCACACCCUGCAAUGACUUCGACCAGCGGACCAACCUAUCCAAUACCCUACGCCAUGACCUUAGAAGUUCGUACCCCAUGAUAUUCAAUGACACCCGUAGACAUUUGAUCAUUCAUACCUCACAGUACGAUUUCUUUCUUUUUUUUUGGACUUUGAAUUCCAAGCGAAGGAAGCUCAGUGAAAGAUAGACUGGGAUUUGACAGCAAGAAGAAAGCAAUCAUAGUACGCGGCACACACUGCUGACGAAUGAGAUUGACGUCCCAAACCAACACAGGUUCAAGACUAAGUGCAGAACCAAGAAUGCCGUGGAUAAAAAAGUGAGUGCUUCCUCAAGCUUCAUGAAGGAAGGGUCCAAGGACCUAAGCGACAACCUCUACGAAAAAGAAAAACCUAUAUAUAGAUAGUGGUAUGUGUUCGCUGACACUAAAUAGACUUGGCUCGGGGCAGAACUGAGUGGCUAGGCUAAGUUCCCUAGUCUUGUAUUGGCCUACCCACCCCUACGACAUGGAGGCGCUUACCCUUCUCCAACAAGCGUUCCACCACGCGGCUAUUGAUUACCACUUUCCGUCUCAAUCCGUUCCAGGCCAAGCCCCUUCUCUGAUCGGGGAAGGUCAUUCUAAAACAUCAGAUCUCCCAUUGAUGCUGAUCAAAAAUAAGUUUAUCCACCUAGAAUAUAUGAUAGGUACCGAAAGAUUGGAUGUCAUUUCUCAACACCAGGCGGGACGAGCAGCCCUAUACCACGUGUAGCCACACUCUAGUGUCCUUUUCUACUUAGUUGGACAGAUCACUUCACAAAAUCAUAUAAAAAUCAAGCAAGAAAACGGAUGCGCUAACGCGCAAUGGCUUUCGCGCUAGUUGCUCAAAAAAUCGUAUAAAAAUCAAGCAAGAAAAAGGUUCCGGCAGGCUGCGUGGGACUAUAAAUCCUCUUUCGCUGGCUGGGCCCUUUGGACUCGAAAUCCAAACGGAGUGAGUGGUUCGAUUCCACUCUCAGAACGAGAUUGAACAAAAUAAAAUGCAAGUGAAACGAGAGGAGAAUCAAAUUGUAGGCUUCUUUCCUAAAAGCGGUGGUUCUCGCCUCCCCGUGCCCAAAGCGGGGUGGGCGACAGCGCUGCGGUUCUUUUCCUUAUCGAUCGGGUAGAUCCAUAUGUUCUGAGGGGGGGGGGGAAGAGGUGUAGCGCAGUCUGGUCAGCGCAUCUGGUUUGGGUACAGAGGGCCAUAGGUUCGAAUCAUGUCACCUUGAUGUGGUAUUCACACAAUGGGGCCGAAGUGCAAAGCCCCGCAGCCUAUCCGUGGUCGGGAAGGCAGGGGUUUUAAAAGUGAAACUUGGCUUGCAUGUGCGCGCGCACAAAGGAGACUGAGUUGGAUUGCAAAGCCUCUCAGAUGGAAGGAACCUGUUUUAAAAACCCCUUUCUACAAUCUUGAGAAAUUGAAUGAAACUCUCUUGUUUCGUCAACUUUGAAUCAUUAGCUGUCUUUGUAGCUGGCUCUCAUGUCUGGUGUUCCAAGUAAAAACUUUUCAACUAGCUGGGUCACCACUGUUUUAAACCCUGACUUGGAAUCAGAGCCAUAAACGAGUGAUUCAAUCGACAGACGAUUGAGUUCUUAAAAGUUGGAUCGGCACUUCUUGUGUUGAAUCAAACACGCUGUUGCUAGCGCCCUCAACGCUCUCUUCGAUCCUUCGCAAACAUAGCUCCUUCUACGGGAGAUAAAUUUCGAUCACUUUCAUCUCAAUUCGUUUCAUUGGCUGGUCGAGUGGAUGAUUAGACACAGGCGGAGUAUUCAAGUUGUCCCUACUUCAAGUUGUCCCUACUAACUAACGGGUCUAAUUAUCGCUGGCUCACAGGCUCCUUCGAAGCAAACAUUCGCAGCGCCCCUCGCAUUCAAGCUCUUGCUUUGUCCUGCGGCCUGCCCUCUAAGCAAAAGCAAGAUCUAGACAAGAGUGAAAAGCAGUCAGAAUAUUAAUAAUCUAAAAAGGCCUUCCUUGGUUGUGUAGCUAAUCCCCCUCCUUGACACGAACAUAAUUUUUGCAUCUUCAAACUGGUUAUGGGUGAUACCCUCAUUUUCCAUUAACUCACUAGAAAUCCCUUUGAAUAAGCCUCAGGAACACCCAUUCCUUUCGGAUCAGGGGGUGGUUGUUUUAACUACUUGUUCGGGGAACAUUAGACAAAGUUACUUAUUUGAGAAAGUAAAUGAACCUGAAAUAGGACCUAUGUGAUAGUUUGCAGCAUGAGCAUGUAGAUGCUGGUUAUGGUAUCAGAUCUGAGGACCAAGAAUUUGAAAAGGAUAGUAUUAGACUCAAUAAGAAGCUUUCAAAACAUAACUUCUCAUAUUUGGUCUGUGGGCUACCACGCUUAAGCUUUCUUAUCUUACUCUUUCCACUAACGUUAGGACUUAGGCGAGCUGCUGAAUAUGAGACACUUCUUUCUCGGCCGUGCGUGGUCUUCCCUUGGGGAUGGGAGAAUAUAGAAGGUGGGUGGGUGGAUCUCUAUUCUCCAUAAGGAUAGGGUUGAUUUGAUUGGCACUCACGCCUUUUAGAAAGAGCCACUCAAUGCAAUUCUCUUUUAGGCGAAGAGAGUAUGCCCAACUGGAGUGGUUUCCGCCUAUAUUCCUACUAAUGUAAUCUCCAAGAUGGACAAAUCUUCUUAUCUGCGGAUCUAUUCCAUGCCGGAAUUCGACCUGCUAUUCAUGUGGGUAUUUCACUUUCCAGAGUAGGAUCAGUGGCUCAAAUGUGCCGCAAUGAAACAAGUAGCUGGCAAAUCCAAAUUGGAACUAGCUCAAUUCGCAGAGUGACAAGCCUAUUAUUCGCCUCUGCUCUCGAUAAAACUAGCCAGAAUCCAUUGUUUUUAUGACAGGAAUUGCUUAAACAAUCCCAAUCAAACCUUCUCCCAGUGGAAGAACAGAUAGCUACUAUAGCUACCGGAAUGAUAGGAUAUCUUGAUUCGUUCGAAAUUGGAUAGGUCAAGCUAUUUCUGGACUGGAUGAGUUACGUAAACACCUCAAAGAUACUCAUUCCAAGAAAUUCGAUCUUCUAGCCAGCUUCUAGCCAGGUGGAUAAGGAUGGAAUCUGGUAUCCAAGAAGAGGAUGUUGGACAUUCUUCAUCCCGGAUGGCCGGGGAGAGGAGAGGUAGCAUCACUCUGACUUUGCCGGAAGGAGGAAAAUCCAGAGUUGGCUUUGGGAGAAGAGAAGGAAGCUCUCAGGUUUAGUGAUUCAUACCUGUCCUGUCUUUUGUUUCCAGGGUUUCGAUUUCCGGUCCAGAGCUAGUCUACUUAUUUAUUUUAUACGGAAACGGAAUUUUGCAUAUUAUAUGGAAUUUGUCAUACCAGGUUUUCCUAGAGUUGAGGAAUUCUAUCCAUUCCAGGAAAAGCACUGGUUUGAGAAACUACACUAUAGGAAAGUACUAAGGAAUAGGAAGCUGCUACUUAUACUUCUUAUUCUUGUCCAAAGAUGCCAGACCGAGAUAGAAACCCAACUAGUGAAAUAGAACGGGUCUCUCUAAUAAACUGGGGUUCUUCUCUUCGGGUUGCUGGUAUCCUUAUAUGGAUCCGUCUUGUCUCCUUGGCUCGAUAAGCUAGCAAAGUCAGUUCGUUGGAUUGGUAUGUCUGGUCUGUCAGUCAGGAAAGCACGUCAAGUUGGUUAAUAGCUCUAGUCCGGUUUCUAACUCGGUGAAUUGGUAUGGUCUGGAGGCCCGGCAAUAACAAUAGCAGACAAGUCAGUUGUUCAAGUCUGUUUGGUUGAUAGGUCAGCUCGGUAUAGAAUCUUGUCUGGUUUCUGAAGUUUGUAAAGUCCAAUUAGUAGAGUGCCAGUUAAGUUCCUCAAGUAAGGAUCUUUGAUUCCUCCAAUUCGGUAGGUAAUCAUAAUAGUCUCGGCUCGGAAUGCGAAGAUGCUGCUAAUCUGUUAAAGGGAUCUAGAUCGCAUUUAUUUGAUAUGUGGCCCUUCUUCAACCUCGGAUGUGUACCUGACGCCAGGGAAUAACGUAGUUCUAAAGUAGUGACUCGUGUCUUGGAGGUCAUCCAUCCAAAUGUUCCUCUUUUCCAUUGCCCGCGUCUACUCCUAUAACCGAAUCGAUGGCGUAUAGCGCCAUGCCAUAAUGAAAUUCUUGAUCAUUUCUUUGUUCGUAACAUGGCGUAGUGUAUCAUUGGGUGCCAUUCAAUUCGUGUCCAUUCAAUACCAUGGAUAUAUCAAUUUCUAUUUUCAGAAAGCUCCUAUUUCGAUUGAUAUCUCUAGCAAAUAUAUGCGUAGCAUAUGUCAAGAUAAAGUAAAUCAAUCCGUAUGAUGGCAGGGAGCGGAGGCAGCUUCAACUCAAGUGAGGAGCAAGCUUACCUCGGGCGGGUAGAUUGAUCGGCUCCUUCAUAUCUCGGGAUUUCGCUUAGGCCACCCAGGCCAUACCAUAGAAAAAAGAUCUGGUUUCCUUUCCCUCAUCAACCUGCCAUUCUUUUAUUUCACGAAAGAAUCUUUCCAUCCGCAUUGAGAAACUCAAAUUCCUAGAAAGCCGUUGGUGCACCCACCCAGUGAGUAACUACUAAUGCAGUGAGUAACUACUAAUGUUACAAACAAAGAAACUUUCAAAAAGUGGACCCAACAAGCAAAGCAACGGAUUGGGCUGCACUGCCUUUCGGCGUUUUAGUUAGGCGCAUCCUCUUGCGGGAUGAAAAUCUACCAUAGCACGCUCCGCGCCUUUGAAGGAACAUUUGCUCGAUCAUGGUCCUACCCUACGCGGGCUUACUAACGAUGGCCAAGCACGCAGUCAUUCCUGUUCUAUUUGAUAGGGGAAGCAAUCUAGUCAAAUAAGAAGGAAGCAUGGGUAUAGGUAAGUCUAGACAUAUUGACACGGGCGUAUACUGAAAUAGGCAUAAGGCUGCUAACGCUAAGGAGACAGCACCGCUUCUUUGUUUGUAACUAGGACAUGUAUUGAUGCUAGAGGCAGACUCCUGGCACUUAUCACUCCUUAGAUGAAGCAAGACAAGACUGAGUCCGCUAAGGGACAAGUAUGACUAAAAAAAUGAUGGCAGAUUUUUAUGGAAAUGAUUCUAUUUGAGUAUAUUGUCUCAUUGGGUUUGUCAUUGUCGAUAGCUAUUCUUGUCGCUGUUAGGGCUGGCCGGAUGAUCCAUCACAUAAAUGCUAUUAAUGUUGAAACACAAGUAACUGAUAUAUCCAAAGAUGUUCUUAAAGAACAAAUCAUUUAUGAAUUGGAAAUACUCUAUAAAGUCUAUAGAGAUACUACUGAGGGUGUGCACUUACCGGCAGGAGUCAAUCUCCAAGAAGUAAGCACACAUCUCUUUUUUGUAGACGAGAGAGUGAGCCUUCUAAACAGUAUCUACUGUGAUCUUAUUGCAAAGGGAACUGGAAGUGAAUACUUUGGCCAAGUUAUACAAUUUCUUCUAGGAUAGCUUGUUGUGGGGCUUUCCGAAGGGUCGUUCUGAGAGUGGUCUCUUUUCUUUAAGGUUGCAUAUAUUGUCGGAGAAGGGAGGGAUCCAGGCCAGGUCUAAAAGUGCCGAGUUGGGUUUGGGACAAGAUCAGGAAGUAGUGCAUCUUAUAUAGUGGGUGCCAACUUGAUUGCUGCUGGGAUUGCUUGAUAGGAAACUUUGAUUCAUACGAGCAGAUGUGAAUGAAUUGAAAUAGUCAAUAGUGGUGAUAUGAUCCCGGUAGCUACACUCGGAUCUACUUCUGCUACCGAGACUGCUGCUACUGUAAAAGCAUCAGGAACGUGUCAAUUCACUGAAUAAAGUGCUCUUUCUAUUGAUUUAUGGAUGAAAUCACAAAAAAGAGAAGGAACCACCGAUUCUGCAUCAAAAACAGGGGUUCUAGAGCCAGUUUCUUAAAUCGUAAGUAGAUCCAAUCCAGGGCAGUUGAUAAGUGAGGUUCUCCGGUCGAAUGCAAAUAAGCCAGAGUGAUCUCUUGUUUCGAGGAAGAAACAAACAUCCUGGUCUCAAUAGAUCUUGAUUCUAUGCAUGCGUCAGACACAUCACGAGCCGGAACAAACGAGUGCUUUCAACUCACGAGCCGUAACAAAUGGGUGCUUUCAACAAUAAGCAAUACCCGAGCUUCCUUCUACCAACCAGGAUUCCGAUACCAAUUCCAAUCUGGCAUAGCACAAGGAAGUAGCGCACCAGAAGAACCAAUACGAGAACCCUUCCUUCCAGCCAGAAUCCGUCUUUCUUGUCCUUUGCAUUCGAGGAAUGGGAUUUGCCUUGUGGAAACAAAAGUUAUUUGUUCGAGUCAAGCAAGCGGACAGUCAGCUAAGAAUACUGGAAGAGAACUCUCUAGCCCUGCACUUAAACUAGACUAGAAAUCCGAAAAACACUAGUUUUGGCCCAUAGCGAAAUAGAGUUUUUCUUCUCCGCGGACUCCCCAUGCUUGGCGCCAUAGGCUUUAGGACUUUUGGCACUAGGGAAUCAUACUUUGAUCAGAUCCGUGGACAGGCUCCCGAGGUCAAAUUGGAUUAUGGACUUUUCCAGCUAAGUGAAAACGCACUUCACUACUAGUAAAGAAGUCAGCUCAGGGCAUGGCCGGUGGUAAUCUCAGAUAGGAACUUGCCGGGAUCCUUCCAUACCUGCCAUCCACCACUACUACUGAUCGUUUCCCAGAACGAGCCAUACCUUUUCCCAGAAUGAGAAUACGGCUGAGGACGAAUAGUGGCGCCUAGCUUUAGUUUCCACACGACACGAUGGAUCUAUCACUCUCUUUAGCAAGGCCAUUCUCUAGAGGAGAGUUCCGAGAAUGAAUUCCAAUCUGGUACCAAUCAUAGAAAUCAUAUUGUAGAGUUCUUCUCACGCCUAGCACAGCUACAAGCAUUCCUCGAAUGCAGAGACAAGACGGAGGAUAUCUGAUCCCGCGAAACAUCUGCUAACAACUACGGAUUACCUUGUUUCCAUGAAAUCCAUGUUUCUGGCACCUUGGCCCCCUCUACCUGCGAAAUUCUGAUUCCUAUGGUUGAAGAAAGUACAACGUUGUCAAUUCAACCUGAAAAAAGGGGAAUAAGUUGACAAAGUCAGCUUGAAUAUUACGGUAUGGAUCAAAGGAAGCUAUACCCACCUUGAUUUCUAUCAAACUUAUUAGAUAGUAAAGCAGACAAGUCUGAAAUGGAAUGUUUGAUCGGUAUAUGUAGGGCUCUCAAAAGAGAAUCUAUUUCAGCAUAGUUGAUUUUCAGAAGCUAACUAGAACGUCGCAGCUGCCGUAUAGUUGAUUGUUCCCACCAGUUUCGUUCUCAUCUGGUCAGUUUCAUGAAUGCAAGGAUUUACUACGACUCUCAGGUGUAAACCUUGGUCGUAUACAACAGUGAACUAGCUAAAUAUAGAUAGAGGAGUAAUAUAGCUAAAUAUAGCUAUAGGGCAUUCCACAGAGGUGAAAUUCUCUCGGCAAAGCAGAACAAGAAGCAGCAGAAAGCAAAAAAGUAUAAGGGUCGUUCGGAGUUCUAGGCACAAAACAAUUCUACAGAACUGGGUAUACCAAACAGCUGAUCAACAAGGCAAAUGUCCACUAAACCAGCUAAACGGCUCACGAAUUGUUUGGAAUGCGACGGCAAAUGUGAUCUCCCAGCAAUAUCUCGAGUCCAAAACCUCACCCAUCUACAUAUAUCAUCAUCUGCGGCAAGAACAUAGCAACACUAAAAUCCUACCAGCAACUGCUGCAAUGCACCCUCCUCACGACAGCCAACCAUCGACGGUGUCAGACUAUGAUUCAGUUGCUGUACUACUCCUCUUUGUUCCGUUUCAUGUUUUUGGCAGUUUCGUUCUUGUGUCUGAGUCCGAAGAAGACGGUGGAUGUUGAUCCAGUAGCAAAAUUGUGCUUCCUGUUGCAGGAUUUAUGUAUCAUGCCAUGCGUAGAUACGGACGACAUGGAAAAAAUCAAGGUUUAUGUACGACAUGUUCUUUCCUUCCUUCAUUCGGUGAUGCACAGAGGUGGUAGAGUCUUGUUCCUGGAGUCGCUCACAACUUUUGGGAGCACCGAGAUCCUGAAUAAGAUGCUGCACAAAUUGGCUGACGUGUUGGGAGCCCCCAAUAGAGAAGGACGAUGCGGAAAGGGAUGAUGGGAAAGUGACAAUACUGGACUUCAACUCGUUUAAAAAGAGUUGUAGCCGUACAGAAUUCCAAUUAGAAUGGACCCAUCUCAUGAUACAAGUUACCCUGGAUUUCUUUCUAUUCCUAUUUCGCUGGGAAAUUCUAGUUUUUGUUAUGAUGAUCUCAUGGAUAGUAGUAUUGAGUUCUAUAAACAGAUUGAUAGUAGGUUUUAAGAUAGCUUAGCCCUUGCUAUGAUUCAAUUUGUAUUGGAGAAGAGGGGCGCCAACCCUAUGGGGAAUGUAGCUAUGUUGUACUUCUUCCUACUAGCUACGGUGCAGCACCUGUUCCUAGCUACGAUGUUGCUCCUGUCCGGCACUUGAUUUAUCACCGCUUUGGUCUUUUAUUGGUCAUUGAUUUAUAGACGGGAGGAUAAGUACCCUGGCUUGACCCCAGAUAUCGAUUUAGCAUUACAUUAUCGGAUCUCCGAAACGGGAAACAAGAAAAGUAACCGAAAUCGUGUGCCAGUGGGACAUACGAAAUUCACACUUUUUGACUCUCAAUCCAUAGGUGGAGAUACCAGGGGUGGGUUUUCAUGGCCUAUAGUCUCCCCUGCCGACGAAGCACGAACUACUUCUUGAAAUCGUGGAUCCAAAUCUUGCAUUUCUCCUUUACUCGUCAAAGGCCUCGUAUUGUUAUUCCCAUGAUUCAUGUGGGGUAUCUGCUCUUUAUUGUAGGGUCCUACUCCCACCUAUCCUUAGAAAACGAUGUGAGUGGCUCAUACUAAUCAAAUGUACAAGUAACUGACCCUUAUCAAGCUUUCCACACAUAGUGUUUUGAUCUAAGAUUGCAAUUCUUCCAUGUUUCCGCAGUAGCAUAUUGUUCCAUGGAGCUAGGGUCCAAAAUAGGAAUCAACAAGUGUUUCCACGACUCUACCGCCCGGCCAAUCCUGUUCCACUGAAUCCCCUCCCUUUUUCAUGGCCACAUAUCUUUAUGGCUAAGGAGUGGGAAAUAUUUCUCCUGUUACACAAAUCAAAUGUUUCAUUUCAUCUGGGAAAAGCCACCUCUUUCUCCACAAACAAUGUCUUUGUCAUUUCAUCCUGUUUUUAUCCAUUAGAUAGGAACAACUUUGCUAAAUACUGAGAACUCUCAGAUAGAGUAUUAGAAUGAAAAGACCAUUAAUUAUAUAAGGAAGAACCCAGGGUUCUAGCCCAUUCCCAUUCCUAAAUCAAUGAUUCGUAGUGCUUUUGCCUUUCUUGCGUACUCCUGGUGAACCAGUUGCUAGCCAUAUGUUUAGGAGGCUAUUUUCUCCUAUUAAGUAAGAUUCUUAAGCUUAAUAAGCCCAAAGAUCGAAAAGUACUGACCAUUUUGAAAUAAAACCAGACCAUUUGUAAAUCAAAAUAGAAAAAGAAAUCUAGCUACUCUCUUCUCUGUCUCCUUCAGAGAAAGAAAGCUAAGGCAAUUGGUGUUGAAUAAACAAAACCACACCGAACCAGUCAGGAGUUUUCAUAGAUUAUGCCCAACGUCACAUGACACCACUUCAUUGUAUGCAACACGAGGAACCGAUCAAGAAAGACGAAGCAGACAUGCACAAGUUCAAGAGCGAGGUCAGACAAGCAUGUAUCAGAACAACAACGUGAUCAAGGCUGCAGCUGCUGCUGCGAGGACUAACGUCACAAGGGAAAUCCGGCAGGAAGUGAAGGCCACCGAUCCUGACCGAUCGCGCGGCACGGACGUCGAAAGCUCCUCCAUAGUCGAUGGGGGCACUUCACUUGUCCUGGGGCGGCAGCAGCACGGACAUGCACAACUGAUUUCAAUUAGUACACACGAAGUAUGAUCAACGAUUCCGCAAAGAUAUUAAUUCCAUUGUAGUGUUCAAACGAUCAAAUGGAUGAGAUGAUAAACGAUUGCUCAGAUUAAAAAACUAGAAGGUACAGUUACAACUUAACAGAUCUGUGCACUCAGAGUAUGAGAAGAUUAUAUAUAUAGCAUCCGCAUCACCAGGACACUCGAUACUGUAAUCAGUAGGCAGUUACAAGUUAAUAGAACAGAUGCUGCGAGUAGAAGAACUGAAUCAGUAAUCAGUUUUAUCAUACAAUCAAGUUUGAAUCUGUAUUCCUAUAGCCCUAUAGCAGCAUAUAACAAGAAAUGGAGAGAACACCGCAAGUGAAAAUAAAAAAAUUCUGUUUCAUUGUGGGCAGAUGAGCAGGGAUCAUAUGGUGCGAAAGGCGAAAUGGCCAAGAGUCUCUGAAUGGCAUUAGUGGCCGCAGAUUCACCGAAUUACUAGACAAGCAGAAAAAUGUUUACCUGGAGACAUUUUAGGCGUGGGAGGUGAGUCAGGUGUGAAAUGCAUCUCAGGAAGCGACUUGAGCCCUGUUUCAAAUGGGGGGAAACAAAUAAAUGAAAAAAAUAAAAUGGGUACAUUCAAAAGAACUGCUCAACUGAUCAGUAAUCAUGACUAACCAUAGCAAAAAACACAGUAAUAAUAUCCCUAAGAGUAGCAUCCAGAGCUCGCUGGUAAUCCGCAUCUACCACCAACCAUCACUAAUGUAGCUUCACAAGGACUCACAAGAACAAGGAUAGGAGCGCAUAAACUUAUUUUGUAACUUGUUCGGUGAUCAAGAACACGUGCAUAGGGAGCACAAGAAUCGAUCGAAGCAUAUACUCGCCAUCAAGAAGGGACAAGUUUCUCCCCCCGGCCCUACUCCCCAACCAACCCACCGAACUAACUCCAUACGUUCAUCAUCAUACAUUGCGUACCAUGCAUUUUUCCUCUUCCUUCCAUACUGUGCACGAGGCCUUUGGCUACUCAAUUUAUUUUCUUUUGUUGCUUCUCUAUUCUACACAGACCCGACAAUCUCCCUACGACAAAAGCAUACUUUUUGAGUACUCUAAAGAAAUAUAUCCCAUUGGGCUGGCUUUAGGAUUAUGCUUACUCCUACUGUGGAGAAAACCAGAGGAGUCCAACUACCAUUUCUUUGUAUGAAGUACGUACAUGUUCUUCACCGUGCAAGCUCUACAGGUUCGGAAUCCGAGACCUUCAAGUUCAACCGUAGACGUAGAAGCAAACCGGUACUUAAGCAUCGAGCGAAUGAGAGACGAGUGAGACGCCUUUAGCUCCUAGAAUGCCUUCUUCAACUUUUCUAUAUGCAAUUCGUGCGCCAAAUAGAACUGCUAGACUACAUUGAGUUGUGACCACUCAUGCCUCUGAAGAGCGAGGCAAAGGGUAACACUAGGGCGGAGCUCCACCUUUUGUUCUUCCAGCUCAGACUCCUAACCUAGAAACUAUAUAAGAGGCACGAGAUGAUCAGGUGUGUGCACUAAAGCUUGACAUGAUGAAAGCUUAUGAGAACUUCACUUCUAUAGCUGAUACGGGAUCUAAUGACUUAUUUCUUAAAAUAGGGUUUUGUGACUACCGAAAGUUUNNNNNNNNNNNNNNNNNNNNNNNNNNNNNNNNNNNNNNNNNNNNNNNNNNNNNNNNNNNNNNNNNNNNNNNNNNNNNNNNNNNNNNNNNNNNNNNNNNNNNNNNNNNNNNNNNNNNNNNNNNNNNNNNNNNNNNNNNNNNNNNNNNNNNNNNNNNNNNNNNNNNNNNNNNNNNNNNNNNNNNNNNNNNNNNNNNNNNNNNNNNNNNNNNNNNNNNNNNNNNNNNNNNNNNNNNNNNNNNNNNNNNNNNNNNNNNNNNNNNNNNNNNNNNNNNNNNNNNNNNNNNNNNNNNNNNNNNNNNNNNNNNNNNNNNNNNNNNNNNNNNNNNNNNNNNNNNNNNNNNNNNNNNNNNNNNNNNNNNNNNNNNNNNNNNNNNNNNNNNNNNNNNNNNNNNNNNNNNNNNNNNNNNNNNNNNNNNNNNNNNNNNNNNNNNNNNNNNNNNNNNNNNNNNNNNNAAAUGAGCUACAAAUAGGUCCUACUUCAGACAAUCCUUCGUUGUCCCUUCAGAGGAGAUGAGUGGGAUGACGAAUGAGUUCUUUAAACAUCUCUAUACUGCUGAAGGUACUGAAAGAAUGGAGGAUGUUCAUUCUGUCGACAGUUCCUCGGAAAGUAUCUCAAGCAAUGAAUGAGCAAUUGACUGCGCCCUUUACUGGUUCUGAAGUGUGACCUUUUUAAGAUGUACCCUGAAAGGCCCCUGGCCCGGACGGCUAUCCAGCCCACUUUUUUUCAGCGAAGGUGGGAUUUCUAUGGUGAUGAGGUUAGUGACUUCAGUUACCUUCUCGGUUCUUUUCAAUGGGGAGCGUCUUGAGGAAUUCAAACCUUCUCAGGGACUACGCCAGGGAGAUCCAAUCUCUCCGUACUUAUUCUUGUUAGCAGUAGUUUAGGUAUUCAAAAUAGCGAAAUACAUAAAUUAUCUAUCUCAAGUACGUCUCGUACUUAUCUUGAGCCAUCAGUCAGAUUGAAUGCAGCGCCCUGCCGGCAGCUCCUGACCUCUGUUCCUAUGGGGGAAAGAAGGUGUGGCUUUGGACCCCAAACUCUUCCAUGACGCCCUUCUUAUUAUAGCAUGGGUAAGUGAUCAAUACAGACAAAAAUCACACCCAUUGGAUCCAUCCUGAUAUGAUUGGGUGAUUUGCACGUUUUCCCUUAAGAACAAGCACACACACACUAAAUCCUGAAAAGAAAGAUAGAUGCUCAUCUUCGCACUGAUAGCAGCAGGCUCACUACGUACGUUGUCCAACCCACCUCGUAAGACAUCUUUCCUCGGAUAGCCAAGCGAAAGAGGAGGUCUCAAGCAUGCAAAAACACAUGUAUGAGCAGGAAAAGAUGUGCAAUCAAGCUCAGAGACUGCAGAUAACGGAUCUCUCAGGCACCAGUUUCCCUCAGUUCAGGAAGGGAAGCGAGCUUUCAAGGGUCCAAGGAUAAAAAAGGUAAUUAAUAUGUCUCCGACCGAAGUGAUAGAUAAAGGCUUUACCCAUUGGUAAGGAAUGGUUGGAGGAGUGAAACAACAAUUCCGCCUAGCGUAGGACACGUAUAUUUGAUCCAAUCUAGCAAGCGUAGCCAGCCCCACCCACGGGUGAAAUUAUACAACUCCCUAUCUCGUUGAAAGCCCCUUUGCUUAUGGAAGAGAAGAGUUGGAUGCCGUGGUGGGAAAGCUCCCGUUUCAACUUUGCUUCUUGUAAGCUUCUGUAUAAAUAGCUCACUUGCGGGAUCUAAUCUCAUUCUAUGGGAAUAGCUGUCAUUUCUAUCUUUUGUCUUAAACUGGUGAACAAAUCCUUUCUCUUCACUUUUUGUGCUCCGCAUGGCUCCGGUCAAGAUGUGACUCAUCCUGUAUAUACAUAAUUAGGAGACCUCUCAUGAACUUGUUAAAGAAAGGAGUACCAUUUGUGUGGACAAGCCAAAGCAAUCCUUUGAUGUUCUCAAGCAAGCUUUAAUUGAGGCCCCUGUGUUGGUUCUCCCUGAUUUCAGUAAAAGAUUUGUGCUAGAGACAGAUGCCUGUGGGCAUUGGAGCUGUGAUAAGGGGUAGAAGUAUUCGUGUGGGGUGGGUUUUGAAGGGAAGGUUGCACAAUAGAUCGGAGAUCCUUUGAGGAAGACUGAAAUGACUAUACUUAUAGAAUGGUCCAUAUCGAACAGAUACGAUACUGGUUUACACAAAGAAUAUCGCCUAGCUCUAAAACGGUAGCACCUGAGUGCAACUUAGAGUAAGAAAGAACGACCUUCUGCUACCUUUUUACCGGGGCAUUGUUUUAACAACUUUAGCUGAUUGAUCUACGAAUGGAGGGAUUCAAGCUUAUUUUUGUUAACCGAGAUGCAAAUGACUAACAAACUGGAUUUGAAGCCACCUGUCGUAAUAGUACCUGCGGGUUCUUUCUGUGGAGCCUUCAAAUGCAAUAGCUAGCUACCCAACGGCCAAUGCCACAGGCAAAUCUCCAUUUUUCAACUUAUACAACUCUUUGGGGUCCAAAGAUACUCGCCAUUACAACUUAAUAAAUAGGACCGGUGGGAUCGCCUUCAACAGAUAUAUCGGUUUCACUGCUUUCGUACCCUUUGUUUUGGUCAUGUGGAUGACCCACAGACCGUUGAUAAGAUGGAUACCCAUGUACUGCCUUUAAAAGAGAGUUUUACCAAGGACCCUUAGACAGAUAGGGGGGACAGACAAGAGGUAUGCAACCUGCUGAAUAUUGUCACCGAAUCGCUCACUGACAAAUACUUGGGGCUCCCCUCCCUGGUAGGAGUGGAUAGGAGCGACUGCUUCCAACACUUAAUUGAGAGAGUUUGCACUCGGAUUAAUGGCUGCAAAGAGGAAUUGCUAAUUGGCUCCGCCAUGGAGACCAAAAUACGAGCUUCUUUCAUCACAUCAUUUUGCAACGGAGAAAAAAGAAGAACAUAAUAAAGUUUCUGAAUGACUCAAACGGCAACAGGAUCGAAGGUAAUGACCAGUUAGCAUCUCUGAUACAAGGUUACUUUGAGGGACUGUUCACCUCAGAAGUCCUAGCUCCCGACCCUGGGCUACUGGGGAAAGUAAACAUGCGAGUAACUGAAGAAAUGAACGCAAGCCUCUUGGCUCCAUUCACGGCAGAUGAAGUAAAGGCAGCACUCUGAAUUCAAUCGAGAGUUAGGUACAGUAAUCUUCAGAUAUGACAAUACCUCCCCCAAAGCAUUGUCAAGUGUUGGAAUUAGGGCACCAACCACGAAUAGGAGCUGUAUAGAACUCCGAAAAGAGACCUUUGAUGAAGUCGGCAUCCUCCCAAGUGGCAUUUGCUUGAUCCAAACUAGCCCACUUCCUUGGUUGCUGAAAAACCAUGCAACGCAAGUAAUUUUCCACACACUGAUUCACACGUUCUGUCUGGCCAUCUGAUUGUGGGUGAUAGGCAGAGCUAAACCUCAAUUUCACUUGCAGUGCUUUGAAGAAGGCCUGCCACAUGUUACUUGUGAAUAUCCAGUUUCUAUCAGAGACUAUUGACUUUGGCAAUCCAUUCCACUUAAAAACAUUAUCCAUCAAAGCAUGAGAGACUGAUUGUACUGUAUAAAGGUGAGCAAGGGGAAUGAAAUGAGAAUAUUUAGUGAACUUGUCCGCCACCAACAAUAUGACUUCUUUGCCCAAUGAUUUGGGAAGACCCUCAAAGAAAUCCAGGGAGAUGUCAGUCCAAGCAGAAGUAGGUAAUGGCAUUAGAUCUAGGAGACCAGGGUAGUGGCAAUGCUCUCCCUUGACUCUUGGCAAACUGCACACUCAUGUAGAAAAGUUUCAAUCUCCUGGCCUGGCGCCAAUCAAAUAGCUUUUUUACCCUUUGAUAAGUAGCCACAAUGCCUGAAUGGCCUCCUAUGGGAGAGUUGUGAAGUGAAUCAAUGAUUUGGUGUUUAAGAACAGCAUCUGAUCCCACAUAUAUUCUUCCUUUAUAUCUCAAAAUGCCAGAAUGAAGAGUAUAAGGGGGUGCUGCAUUGGCUGAUACAGUGAGCUUCUCAAGCAGAGAUUUGUAGUGAUCAUCAUUAGUGUAGCUGGUUUCUACAGUUGAAGCUUAAGCAGGAGUAACUGCAGUGACUGCCAUCAUAAGAGAAUCUCUUCUGCUCAAAGCAUCUGCAACCUUGUUUUCUUUUUUUUGUAUUCAAUCUUGUAAUUGAAUUCAAGCAAUUUUCACAUAAGCUUGUGCUGGAUGCCCUCAGAGACUUUUUGUUCUGUGAUGUAUUUAAGGCUCCGUUGAUUAGUUUUGAUCAAUAAAAGAAUUGGGAACCAAGAAAGUAGUGGCGCCAUCUCUUCAAGGAUUCACAAAUAGCUAAAGCUUCUCCUUAUCAUAAGUUGACAUAGCUGCAUUUCUGGGUCCAAGGGUUUUACUGAAAUAAGCAAUUGGUCUGCCUUGUUGCAUGAGGACAGAACCAAACCUUGACCUCAUGCAUCUAUUUAAAAAGUAAAUGGUAGGGUCAAAUCAGGCAAAGCCAUAACAGGAGCAGUGAUCAGACAAUUCUUCAAUGUUGUGAAUGCCUCAAUUUGAGCAUCAGACCACUGGAAUGAUUCUUUUUUUUGAGAGUCAUGAAGUGGCCUAGAAUUUAUCCCAUAAUUCUUGACAAAUCUUCCUUUUCUGCAGCCAUACCAAGAAAACUCCUCAACUGAGUGAUAGUCUGUUUUGUGGGGGUCUAUAGAUAGACCCUAUCCUUAGAUAACAUGCCUGAAAUACUCCACUUGAGGGACAGGAAAACUGCAUUUGCUAAUCUUAGCAUAUAGUUUUUAUGACCUUAGAAUGUCCAGGACUAACUUUAGAUGCUUGAGAUGAGCUUGUUUGGUCUUGCUAUAUAUCAGAAUAUCAUCAAAGAAUACCAAAAGGUAUUUCCAGAGCAAAAACAUGAUUCAUUAAAGAUUGGAAGGUAGCAGGUGCAUUAGUGAGUCCAAAUGGCAUCACUAAGUAUUCAUAAUGACAAAAAUAUGUCCUAAAAUUUUGGAAUGUCUUCUCUUCUCAUUCUUAUCUCAUGAUAACCUGAUCUCAAAUCAAGUUUGGAAAACAGUUGUGCACCAUGUAGCUCAUCUAAUAGAUCCUCAAUGACAAGAAUAUUGAAUUGAUUUUCUGCACUUAACCCAAAAGCAAGUUUGAAAACAAAACUUGCUCUGUGAAGUGAUGGAAGUAGUGAAGGUUUAGGCUUCGGAUCUGUGAAGUUCAGGUUUUGGAGUAGAGGUCAGAGGCUAGUGCGGGUAGCCCUGUCGGAAACUAGAAAGAAGAGGCUGAUGCACCUGCCCGGCGGUGGGUGGGUUCAGCUCGAUCAACUGGGAUAUGAUUUUUUUCUCUAUCUUGCUCCAUGGUAUUCAAGCAGUGCGUCCAGAAAGCUGUGAUUCAUGGGAGGGAGCAGCUUCAAUAGCUUUGGCUGUGAAAACUCUUGGUCUUGGAGCAUCAGUGUCAUCAGUUCACCCAAGAUCAGCAGGACAAAUAACUACUAGGUUUUUGCCAGAAAAGCGUCUUGCAUGACGGGGAAAGAGUGGAAAAAGAUAGAGAUUCAUCAGCUAUGGAAUCUGACAGGUAUCGGUAUUGAACAGAGGGGGCUGUUCACAAAGCAUCCCAUGGAUGGUAAUGGUGCUUCCCCAGCUGCUGUUCCUACUCCUUUGGCUGGUGCGAAAUCAGGUGACUUUGAAGUUGAAGCUUGCCCGCAGAACGAUGUAACCAUGCUGGUAGUACUAUGAUUGCCUUAGAGCGCAGAUAUCUCUGUCCCUAGGAACGUGAUGCUUAGGUGCGAGGUGAAACACAAGCAAGAGAUCGAGAAAAGAAAUCAUACGGAUUGCAACCUACAGAUGAAGAAUUUGCUUCAUUGUUCCCACCAUCUAUAUCAGAUGUUUAAUAAGAAUAGGAAUCAAAUAAGCUGCUGAUUGACUGAGGAAGCAUUUGAAAAGAAAGGAAGGGUGAUACUUGUUAAAUAAAGCUAUGUGUGGGGCCGCCACGUAUAGCUGUAGUUUCUGCUGCAGCAUCGAUUAUUUCCGUUAUUGCUGUAGUAGCAUCGGUUAUUGCUCAGGUUACGAAUGACCCAAUCUAUCUAUGGCAACCACCCCUACUUUUAGUAGAUGGAGAUGCGCACGUAGAAAAGGCGGAUGAAAGAGAACAUGCCCUUCUGACUUCUUCUCUUGUCUAUCCUUUACGCAAAGCGAUCUAUGGUCUCAACAAGCCCCGAUAGCAUCGGUUUUUGAAGUUCAGCACCGUGGUUAUGUUAUCCAGGCAGGGUUUGCUCGGAGUGAUCAUCAUUCGGCCAUGUUCGUAUCAGUUUAUCCUCGAGGACGUGCUAUUCUGUUGUUGUAUGUUGAUGAUAUCAAACUGACUGGUGAUUACUCCGUUACCAUAUCGCUUAUCAAGUGUCGCCUUCAUCAAUUAUUUGCUAUGAAGGCGCUGACGCGCCCUAAGCCUUUUCUUGGCUUGGAGGUCGCACAUUCUCCUAGUGGAUAUUUGGUAUCUCAGAUCAAAUAACGUCAUGACUUGAUCACUCGAGCUCAACUCAAUGAUGAGAAGACUGUUGACACUCCCUUGGAGCUUUACUUUAAACUCCGUCCGACUGAUGGCUCACCAUUAUAUGAUCCGACGCAAUAUAGACAGUAGGUCGGCAGUUUGGUUUAUCUGACGAUCUCUUGCCUAGAUGGCUUUUCCUAAGAAAGUCAGCCUUUCAUGGCUGCCCCCCGGUCAUUUCACUUUGCAGCAGUUCAUCGGAUUCUUAGAUAUAUUCGAGGUACCUUUUCUCGAGCCGUCCUUUUUUCCGUCAUCGUCUUCUUUAGAGUUGCGUGCAACUACUGAUGCCGAUUGGGCCUUCAGAUAGGUGCUCAACUACAGGCUUAUCUAUUUUAUGGGGAGACAAGACACUAUCUUGGAUGAGAUAAAAGCAAUAGACAGUUGCUCCUUCCACUGCCGAAGCGGAGUACCGCGCCAUGGCACACUACUAGAUAGAUUGUAUGGCUCCGUUGGUGACUUUCUGAUUGCGGGUUUCAUUUGAAAAACCCCAACGCCAUUCAUCUUGCGUCAAAUCCGGUGUUUCAUGCAAGAGUUUCAUUUUUGGCCGCUACUACGUUCGUCGAAAACUUCUUGAUGGCACCAUCAUCUCAUUACCUUAUUUUUUUCCCUUCGACUUCGGCUAUGACCAAUGCCCCACCUAGCUGAAUAGGCAUAACAAAGCUACUGGAAAAAGGCAAGGUGCACCUUAGAUUGAAAUCGACAAAUUGCGUUUUGCCAGAUGGAUUCUUUAGAAAGAUUCCCGAAUAAAGUUCAGUAUAAUAUUUAGUUAGAAUCUAAAUAAAGGCGCAUACGUGGGCGGGCAGGGGGCCCCACUACUUCUUCAUUCAGGGGGGGCUAGCCUCAUGACUUCCCACUGGGCGAGGGGUGCACCUAACCCACCUACUCACUCAUCAAUUACAGUGUUCAACGGACUUGCACAGAAAGAACCCUAUUGUUUAGUUAUUUGGCGCCCCAUCUUUUGAUUGACUUUUGUCAACUAAUCUUUUCAAUGUUCAAUUGUACUCUAUGUUAGAACAUUUCUAUGAAUGCUAUUUCGAUCUAAGUGGUCCUAUUCUCUGUCCCGUGCUAGGAAGCAUUACUCCUCUUUUCAUUCCAAAUUCUUCAAUAAGACUGAUACGAUUGAUUGGUCUGUGCGUUUCUCUUAUUACUUUUUUGUAUCCCCCUGUUCCUCGGAUACAAUUCGAUCCUUCUACGGCCAAAUCUCAUUGUGGAAAGCCUUCGAUGGCUUCCUUAUGAAAACAUCCAUUUGUAUAUGGGUAUAGAUGGUCUUUCAUUAUUCUUCGUGAUAUUGACCACAUUUCUGAUCCCUAUUUGCAUUUCAGUGGGUUGGUCUGGUAUGAGAAGUUUUGGGAAAGAGUAUAUUACAGCAUUUCUAAUUCGUGAAUUUCUAAUGAUCGCCGUGUCCUGUAUGCUGGAUCCUCUACUAUUCUAUGUUCUUUCCGAAAGCGUGCCAAUCCCUAUGUUGUGCGGAGCUGAGCAUCUUCUAUUCACUGGGAUCAAGCUUUUCCUCUGCAGGGGCCUUGUGCAGUAAACCCCCUACGGGCGGUCCCCCGUCGUCGUAAAGUAGUAAAGGUCCCCGCAAAGCUUUCAAGAAGAGGGCAGUCUUGUGUGUAAGCAUAGCAGUUCUGGUCGAACCACCGAACCACACAUCUUUUUUUGGUGGGAGGGUACUCCGAGUAGUGGAUACCUCGUAGGACCUCGACCCGCCUACUCAGGUCUUGUAUGGAUAUGCAGGAAGGGGUGCUCCUAGGUGUGUGUAGGGGGUGCGUUUGUUCACGAGAAUGAAUUCCUCGUCAAGUCAGGGGGGGGUGUGGACACACUUGCACGAAUUCGGGUAACGGCUACAAGGGAUAAAAAUAAAUGAAACUAUACCCGACCAGGGAUGGACGUAAACUCGUAAGCUACUGAGGGUAGGGAUAAUCGUCCAGGUCUUAUUUUAAAAAAGUCGCCCCGCCACUGCAGGCAGGUUAGUUCCUCUGCCGUUUCCGGAGAGUUCUUGGCGAAGAGACAUUAGGAUAAGUUUCUAAAACAAACAGAGGGGAGGAUCGACCCGUUCAGUAGAAUUCCGAAGAAAGACUGUUGGCAGCAGGUGGAGACAUUUCUUUGGCCCCCUUCCAAAUAAAUGCGGGCAGGGUAGAGCUCGGCAGAGGGUUCGAGAAUAGGGUAGGGUUUUUAUGGUUGGGUCCCCUACCACUAGUCCGGCUAGCCUUCUUUCAGGCAGGAAGCAGGCCUAAACGACGGGCGGGCAUCUCCCGCUACGCAAGCAACAUUGUUCGCCACCACCCGAGAAGCAAAAGAUUCGAGAGUCAAGGCGGAAAAGACAAGCAUAGUGGUCUAAUGACAAGGGCCGACGACGGAAGCUCGGGACGGAGCCGUAUGAUUCGGAAGUCUCACGUACGGUUCCCUGAGAAGGGAGUGGCUACCCACUGGAGCUUUGACCAACUACCACCGGUCAAUUCCGCUUUGGGGCCACCCCUGACUCUACCAUCAUUAUAGGGGUAUGGGGUUCGAGACAAAGAAAGAUCAAGGCAACAUAUCAGUUUUUCCUAUAUACUUUACUUGGAUCCGUUUUUAUGCUAUUAGCUAUUCUGUUGAUUCUUCUCCAAACAGGAACCACCGAUUUACAAAUUUUAUUAACCACUGAAUUUAGUGAGCGGCGCCAAAUCCUUCUAUGGAUUGCUUUUUUCGCCUCUUUUGCCGUCAAAGUGCCUAUGGUACCAGUUCAUAUUUGGUUACCCGAAGCCCAUGUAGAGGCACCUACGGCUGGAUCCAUCAUCUUGGCUGGAAUUCUUUUAAAAUUGGGAACCUACGGGUUUUUAAGAUUUUCCAUACCCAUGUUUCCCGAGGCGACACUUUGUUUCACUCCUUUCAUUUAUACUCUAAGCGCGAUUGCUAUAAUAUAUACUUCCUUGACCACUUUAAGACAGAUCGAUCUUAAGAAGAUCAUUGCCUACUCUUUAGUAGCCCAUAUGAAUUUGGUGACUAUUGGUAUGUUUAGUCGGGCGGCGGCCGUUAGGUCACCUAUUUUGAGUUAUGGACACACAAGCAAGGCCAAAACAUGUGUGACGGGCGUGCGACCCAUCAACCUACCAGCAAUAGGGGAGAAAACUUAGCAUGUCGCAAAAAAAGCGUCGAUUCGAGGCAUCAGCAAAACACCACCGUCUGUUCCUAAAACAAAACCCCUUAGCGCCCCGGGAUGGGAGUGGGGGACGGCCUUACGUAGACAGUAGUAGCACCGGCUCUACGAAGUCCGAAUCGAAUCUUUCGGUUGGCUUUCCCGUGAAUAAGAAUUGUUGGGCGCGGCGAAGCGAGCGCUUCUAGCUGUUUAGCUUACUUCUUUCAUAUUGUGGCGGCUAUUAUGGCGUGGCUAAAAUGAACGAAAAGUGAGAUGAUUCAAAUCGAUUGAUAGAUGGCCUGAUUUGUUCUAAUAGAUCGAAAGGUUUUCUAUCAAUAAUAAGGGUUGACCUCUUUCUAUCUAUUGAUGAUACAAGAUAUCUAUCUAUUCUGGAUCCAUCAGAAAGAAAUUGAUAUGUAUCUUAUUUUUUCUACAUCGUAUGUAGAGCGCCCAAGCGUUUGGCCAGCUCAGUUCUAUUAUCCAUCGGUCCAAUGCACUGGAUCAUCUCAUGGAGGGAAAAAGCAAAUGUAGUUAGUUGUCUUGUUGUUGUUCGCCGCCUCGACACAUUCCCCGGCAUCGUCCCACACAGAAAGAAAGAGCGUGGAGCCCCGGCCCGACCUGUAAGUCCGCUAACGUAAAGCGAGGAGUUGAGCCAGAACUGGCGAACCGAAGUCACUUUCGUAACCAUACUUCCUACAGCUAACAUGUGUCCAGUCCAGCGGGAACGCGAAGCGCAAACGAACGUGAGCUCCUAUACCGAAUCCCCCGCUGGCCAUCGGGGACCUAGUGGUAAGGCCAUGAUCCGCAGGGGAAGGGAUCACUCAUUCUUCUAUUGGGGACAGGUGCAUGAACGACAACUCCAAACGUCAGACAUCCGCCGCCUAUACCUACCGUUUAGGUGGCACCAGCGAGAUCCAGCUAAGGUAAGGAACUUCGUGUUGCGGCUGCUCCACUCCGUUGCGGUCUUUUGAACUGAACUUCGUUGCCUUCCNNNNNNNNNNNNNNNNNNNNNNNNNNNNNNNNNNNNNNNNNNNNNNNNNNNNNNNNNNNNNNNNNNNNNNNNNNNNNNNNNNNNNNNNNNNNNNNNNNNNNNNNNNNNNNNNNNNNNNNNNNNNNNNNNNNNNNNNNNNNNNNNNNNNNNNNNNNNNNNNNNNNNNNNNNNNNNNNNNNNNNNNNCUCUCUAUCCAUAUCUAUUCUAUCUUUAUAUGACGGGCCAUAAAAAAAGAAGUAUUUUUUUAUGGCAUGCGGGAUGAUCGCGCCUAGUAGCCACAUAUCAGCUGCGCUCAAUAUGCGGGAUUUCCAUUGGAUUAGAUCUUUCGCUUUGACGAAUUUGGACCUAGCGAAAAGGACUCGAAGCCUUCGCGCAAACAAGCAAAGUAGAAGCAAGACGAGGAAGCGGAGCUGUCAUAGAAGCAGUAGCUUCACCCGACAAUAUACAAUACAACAGUAGCAACCAUGAAUAAAAAAGCCCCUUGUUUAACGAGUUCGCUGCUUUUCCCAGGCCGGAGGAUGGCAACUACUUAUUGAUUGAUCGCCUUUCUUUGAUAUGUGUUCAAUUUAGUACAAUACAAACUACAACUAGAUCAAAGCAGAAGGGCCACUCACUAUAGAAGCUAUAACUAGAAAAGCCCUAGCCAAUAGUUUAGUAGUCGGCCAAACCCCCAUGCUCACGACAUGUUCUUGAUAUUGAUUGAGUUGGAGGGAGUUAGAGACUACCAUGGAAUCCUUCCAUAGUCACCCCAGUGACCUUCGUCACCAAAGCAUCACGAUAGUUUCCAAGACCCCUCAUAUAAUCUCCAGUGGUGAUCAGUCGGAGCACGUAGGAAUGCCGACCACUACAUAAGCCACGUCUGGCUGAGGCGAGAAGCAAGCGGGGGAGAGUAUUUUGAAGUACAAGAAUGUUGGGGUGGGACGCUAGUACUUAAACUAGGGUUGCUUCUUAGCGCUAAUCUUGCAAUUUUCAGCAGUUAGUUGUAGCGCGCCUUCCCUCCUUCUCUCAUUUCGGAAAGAUUUGGCAGUAUUUUCUUAUGAUGACCUGGUCGAGAGAGUACGAAACAUCGGUGUAAAAGAUUGAGUGGGAUGGUUAUAGUAAGGGGCGAACCAAGUGCUUGCGCGAAGAAGCGAAUCAAUCAGAAUGGAGACAAGGAAAGGAAUCAAGGCCCAGCCCGGUAGCGAUGCCUCUCACGCGGAUGGGAGUUACUUUUCUUUAUCACCGUAAGCGUUACGAAAUGGACCCGCAUUCCCCUUUGCUUUUCUUUUGCAACUAAGCUUAAAAGAAAGAUAGUAGUCUUUCAAGCCAUUAGAAAACUCAUUAAGUGCUCUGUUGAGUGAAUGUCUGUUGAGAAGCUUAGGUCAUACAUUUCUAGCUAAUUAGAAUACAACCAUGAAGGUGGGGUUCGAAUGCCAUACAACUAUUUAUUCUGGUAAGUAGGAUUGGAAUGUAGUCCCUUUUUAUUGGAUCCGCCACUCCGUUAAGUGAAAUUCAAAGUAGGUGUGGGUCUAGCUAGAGGAAGUCAUAAAUCAAGUAUCAAGUAUUGUUAUAAAUAUCGUAUAUAGUAGUUGCCAAACUCACAAGCAUCACACACUUCGAUCUACUUUAUUGAAUAACUUAGCUAGAUAGAACCGACUCAAGCUUUUAAAUGAAAGAAGCAAUAAUGGCAUAAUUUCUGUCUCAAGACCUCUUGCAGUUACAGCCAAUGCAGCACCUCCUUAAUCAACAUACAACACAACCCAUUACGCCUUGCUCCAGUCAUAGUAUAAAGAGAGACUAGAACCUACCGGGGAGCCCUUAGCAGAGUCCCUAUCGUUGUUGCAAAAAUUACACACAGAGUUCUGGAAUUUCACAUUUGUGAGAAGAAAGGGUAUGUGUGUUUGAAAGGAGUGGUGCAAGAACGUAUUCUGAGCCUCAGUCAACACAACUUGUUUCGCCUUUUCCGAACAGCAUUCUUAUCAGGACCCUCCUUUAUAUAAACCACUCGUAGAUAUAUACCUGCCUAUGGCCUAAGAUGAAUACAUCGAUAGAUAAGAAGGGAAAUGCAUCAUCUAGAAAGGCUUACUGAGGUUUAGGGACGUUUGUGUGAUGGAUCGUAUGCUUACUCAUGACGACUUGGCUAUUCAAUAAAGGACGGAGUCAACGUGAGCCUUAGGGUCCAAAAAUAUUCCAUUGGUGUCAGCUAUUAGCGAUUAUUCAAAGUCAUAAUGGUAUAAAUUAUUGGUCAAUUCCACUGAUUCUUCUUUCCUGUUCCUUCACUGGCUAUAGCGCCUUACCUCUUCUGUGACUUGUCCUGAGAUGAGAAGUAUCAAAAGUGCCGGGGUUUGGGUUUAUGUCAUGCUAGACUCAUGUUUCUCGUUCUUACACCGGGUCCGCGACCUUACAAGGAUACACAAGCCGGUGAAGGUUUCGGAGAAGCAGCAAGCUGUUCGGAUUCAAGUUAGCUUUGAGCAGGCCUCGGGCAAGGAAAUGCUUUUGCUGUGCGAGGAGAUAGUCGGCUCAGGGGCUUUUGGGCGGAGCCAAAGUGGUCCACAUAUGUACCAUUUCCAUCAUCACAAGAUCCCCUUUUUCUGUGUGCAUAGAGAUAAAGCGUGCUCUUAUAUUUAGAUAAGAGAGAGAUUUUUCACAGCACUUCCCCUUAUCGGCUUGAUCUUCUUCUGCCCCUCGGUAGAGUGAGUCUACUUAGAGAACUGGCAGGACGCGGAGAUCGAUUGAUCAAUAUGCAUAUCGAGCAUCUAUAGUUAUUCUCUCUUCCCAAAAGAUAUCUCAAGUCGCUUCCAACAUUUUGAUGAGUAAGGGAGGGUAUUUUCAACAAGAUAACUAUGGACGACCAUCUUCCAAUUUCCAAUCUAUAUCUUUCAUUGGGUAAGUAAGGGGAAUAAGCAAGAACGGUGGAAAGCUUAAGAAAGUGCUAGUUCCUUUGCUGCGAAUGGGUGGAAUUGGUAUCCCCAAAAGGUUGUUCUCUUAAAAACUCUGGCAAGGGGUGUGGAAGAGUUCAAGUCUAUCCCUUUGGUUAAGCUACUGUUGUUAUACAUCUCUACUAUUAUGGGCCACCACUUACUUAAAGGAAGUCAAGUACACAUCUCCUUCAACUUGAAGGGCGAGGACCUGCAAUGACGUAACGUUUGAAAGAAAAGUAACCAGCAUAGGAGAGUGAUCAGAAAGCAUAUGACUCGCGGGAGGGUUGGCUAAUCAAAUUAGAAUGAAGAUUCCGCUCUAUAUGAUAAACAUUGUUUGACUUUGAUAUGAAGUGUUGAUUGUGUUUUCUAUUCAUUCAGACCCCGAUAGUGCUUCUCGUUGUGACUGAAGGAAGGUUCAUUCUGUGCAAGAUAGAUGCUAGUUUACAAGCAUGAUACCCUCCUUUCGGGCCGGUAGACAGAGGCCUCAGUUCCAAUGAAAUGGGGAGCAAAAAGAGGUCGUGUCAUACCAUACAGAUGAAAUGAAUGAAAGAUAUUCCUGCUAUUUCUGUGCCUAUUAGUACUUCGCUCUGACCACAUCAAGAGGAGUUGUUUGUUUUUCUUUUGUAAAGCGAUCCCAAGGAAAUAUAUAGGAGAACAUAGCUUGUUUUGUAGUAAGUAAAUUCAAAGGCUCAAAUCGUCUAUAUCAAUGCAAAUAUAGCUGGAUGGAGUGACUCAUGCUUUCGAACCAUAAACUAAUGCCGCCUCACAGGAGCGCGUGUUACUAUUCCAUUCUCUGGAGCACAAUCCAACGGAAAAAUAGUAUGUUUCCAACCUACACCUUUAGUUGUUCCAGCUCAUGAGGAAGGCGACUAUGGAAUUCAGAUUUCCUUUCUCUCGAAGCAAGCCAGUCCUUAAUUAAUGAUAGGGAAGGAAGGAAUUGCUCUUAGGCUUGUGAGUCUUUUUAUCAUAUGGAUGGGUCGUACAACCCUUACAUGGUCUCUUGGCAUGAUAUUGGGUACUUUUCGUCUAUGGCGAGAUGGAAGUUAUCUGCAAAGAAUGCAACUUAGGACCGUCAAAGUGGAAAUCGUAUCAACCCACCGAAGCCGCUCUUUGGAAUGGAAUGCAUAGUAUUGUGCAUUGGAAUGGAAAAGUCGAAUAAUCAAGACAUGGAUCUAGUAUCAACAUGACCCAACUUCCAUUCUCAUGACCCAACUUAUUCAAUCACUUCCAUUAUCUUUCUAUUGCUACAAAUCAACAACAAAAAACAUCCCUCGGAAUUCCUGUUCGAUAGGAAAAAAUAGCUCUUCAACCAGAAAUAGCAAGCAACAUGUUUUUCUUCUCUCUUCCGGGCACACACCCUAUCGGGUGACGCCACUGAUAAACACCCUAAAGGGGAACGCAACACUUCCUAUAACAGAAAAAGCAAUAUCUGAAAUCUUUAAGCAACUAAAAAAGACGUAUACUAAAAGAUAUGUGUUGAAAAGGGAUGGUCAAUAACAAGAUGAACCCAAUGCCCAAUCUUCCCAAUAGUAUUCCUUAACUCUUGAAUUGAUACACUUGUUCAUGGCAUCUAUUCUCUAUCUUCACUUUUCACCUUCUCAUCCUUAACCUCAGUGAUCUGUUCCUCCUAGACAUCCUUCUGCGUACAAAAACAGAAGAAGAAGCACGGGCAUAAAUCAAUAGAGUAGUUUAGUUUCAGAAGUCUUUUUUGAUUGGUAUAUCAAUCAUGGUUUAUAGGGAAAUAGUUAGAAUAGGAAAGCUCUGUUAGUUACUAAUGUUUGGGUUUUUGUUUACGGCAAUAGUAGGUUUCUUUCUUGUCAUAUUUAGAUUAUAAGCAUCAGUUACAUUUGACGUCCAGCCUUUUUAUAGAAGAGAAAGGAAGGUUAAGGGCAAGGGCACAGCAUAAUAUAUAAGAAAAACUUGCUCUUUGAGGGGAAAUUUUUCCAACUAGACCGAUAAAUGAGAAAAAGUACCAGUCGUACCAAGAACCAAAGGCGCCAGCUUUCAUUGAUAUAUAUACCGUAUCUUUUAGCUGAAAAAUCUAUGGAUAAGAACCGGCUCUGGGAGGAGGGGUGGCGCGACAGAGCAAUGAAAAGCUGGGAUCUUUCCUUAUCUUCGGUCGUGACGCCUUUUCCAUUUGUAUGAGAAAGCGCUACAAAACAUCCUUCCCGCGGGUUAUCUUCUACUCAAGCAAGCUCUCUCCUAUUCUUCAUCCACCAACUAGCAGGAACGUAGGAGCACAAGAGGGUCAUCAUCUUCUGAAACGAUUGGCUUUCGAUCUGCUUUCCAAGAGGUGGUUUCUGACAUGACCAAAAAGAGUGGAAUUCUUGUUAGGAUUGGCAUGUCAAGUUGCUUUCUCGGACCCUAACAUAAACCACCUUAUCCUCACUCAGAUUGUUCUUUUGGACUAAGCAGAAGCACGACCUCUAUCUGACGUUUUCUCUAUCCCUUCUAAUCUCUCAAUGGCAUUUCCGUCUCUCGAUUCAAUCAAUCAAGUAAGUCCAGAUGACACUUGUCUUUAUUUAGUGUUUUCCCGACUAUUCAGCCAUUACUUGCAUCUCAGGUUCUUUGUACCCGUUUUUAGUGCCAUGCACACUGAGGUUUCUGGCAUGACCGAAUUUUUUGAGAAUAUCGCUUAUUACGUUAAUUUCUUCAUCUUGAUGUACUCAAUCCAUUCAAAUUCCAUAAUUCCAAUGCUAUAAUCCCUAUAUUAAGAUGAAAUAAGAAAGCAUCAGUCCUCUUAUUUUCUGUCUUCUAUGAAAGAAUGUAGCUCGCUCUUUCAACCCGGGGCCCCCUCUGGGGAACUGUUUGAGUUUUAGCAUCGACCCCAUUUCCUUUUGAUCGUAUUACGCUUGACUCGCUGCAAAACAUUUCGCUUUCUGCGCCACGCUUGUACAUGGUUUACACUCCUAGCCUUUCAUCUGACUUUGUCAUCGGGAAAUUGUUUGUUUUCAACUGGAUUGGAUUUCGAACCAAGAAAGAUAGUCAACUUUCACUUGAAAGAAAGGAGCUUCAGAACUCUUGUAUUCCACCGAAUAAGAAUAAGAAUAAGAAUAAGAGCAAGAAGGGGCUAUCUUUGUGAAGGGACCGGCACCAGAGAGUAGAUCAUAUGGCAUUUCUUUCGCCAAAAUCAAGUAAAGCCCCGGCCAAAGAAAUGCAGCAAAGCAAGUCGUCUUUGGUUUGGAGCGAAAUUCCCGGAUGUAUAGGCUUGAUCGAGUGCCUUACCUGAAAUCGAUGAUAUAAAGUGGGCUCUUUAGCUUGCUCCGACAGAGGUCUCCUUCUCCCUUAGCAGCGAGACCAGACCCUACCUCUUUUCAAUCAAUCUUUCACACCGUAUGCCUUUUCUAUGCCUAAAACAAGUUCAUGUCUCUCCUCUCUGAAGUCGGACCUUAUUGAAAAGUAGUACGCUUUCUUUCGUGGUGUUCAGGAUCCCAUGCUUUGUAGUUCACGCAUGGCUUUCUCUAACGAAGCUAAUGCCUAAUUAAAGACCUUAAACGGAAAGACACAGGAGGUGGCGAAAAACGAAAAAAGAGAAAGAGCUUACAAACUUCUCUGAACCCGGUAGCCAGCGGAGCCCUUAUUCAUGGGUUAGGGACUAGCAUUGAACAAAGUUGGUGAUAGUCGAAGAAAAAGUGAAAGGGCAAGUAAAUAAUCUAAACAUGCGGGUAAGCAGCAAAAAGAGAAUAAAAGUAACGUGCCCUACCUGUUAGUAAAGUAAGGCCUUCCAGAGCCUAUCUAACAUAGACAUACACGCGGAUGAGGACACAGAAAUAAAUGGACGUCGAUCCGGUACUGAAAUUGCAUAGCAAAAAAUGCAAUAUGUUCAUACUUGAUGAAAUGCACAUCAUCCAAUUCAUGAUUUAAGAACAAGAGAAUGAGAUAUUUACUUUUUUUACAUCUGUAACUACAUUCUCACAUUUCUUUUUUGAUCUCAUGACUUUUUAUGCGAUCGGAAAACGAAUGAGAUUAGAAAGGCCAUCAUUGGGGCAAACAAUGCAAUAGCUUCGGUGAGAGCAAAGCCCAAAAUGGCAUAACCAAAUGCUUGUUUAGCCAAUGAUGGAUUUUGCGCCACGAAAUGAAUCAAAGAACUGAGGACGUUUCCAAUACCGACAGCAGCUCCGGCUAAAGCAAUUGUAGCAGCUCCGACACCUAUUGAUUUAGCACCUUCUAACAUCUCGAGUCGAGAAAACACUUUUCUUGUCACGUUUUCAUUCGCUGUUCUUUCUUGGAUUUCUUAUUGAUGAUUCGAAGUACUUGGGCCUGCACCUCCAUAAUUUUCAAAUAUUAAGUUAUGCGGAACACUAAUUUGAUACAUAUUAUCACAAUUUGCAAGGCUUGUCACGUAUUCAAGAAAAUGAGUUGUGGAUUGAAAAUCAUCAGGUAUAGGUAUAGGUAGGGGGUCCGUCAACCCUUGUGGGGCUGGGUGGGGUAUCCUGAACUACUGGAGCAGCUCCCCCUUGUGGCUGGGGUAGACUCUCAGCAGCUUGGUUUACGCAUGGCACGAAAAUCUAUCUUUAAUAAUUAUGUGCAAAAAGUCCAAAGUAGCCUAUUGGGGUUCAGUUGGCAAGAAAAGCCUUCUUCCUACAUCUGCGAGUAAGGGGCAACCUUUUUGAUUAAUUCACAGUUAAGGCAAAGUGCUUUCUUUUAAUGGACAAUUGCAUUUUUACCCCUAGUUGGUUCGUACCCACGGGUUUUGCCCUUACUUUUCGAGCUUGCUCAGUUUUGCCCUUACUUUUUCCAUCAAGGUCCCUCGAAUGCCCUUUGACCGUUUGACCAAAACUUGGAAAAUUCAUAACUAAUUCAUACAAACUCAGAAAAAUGCAAAUAUGCUAUCAAAAUGUUCAGAUAAACAUAACCUUUAUGGGCAUAUCAUUUGCAUUCAGGAAAAAAGCAUCAUUUAAACUACCCGAGGUAAUUAAUGUUAUUAACAUUAUUAAAAAUAAAUAGGUAUAAACAAUAUUUUUUUCAUGAAUAAAAAUUAUAUGCAAAUGUAGGUGAUGUUUUCUGAACAUCUUGAUAACUUAGUUGCAUUUUUCUGAGUUUGUAUCAACUUGUUAUGAAUGUUCUAAUGACUCUGACCAUUAUUUGAAAAUUUCAUAACAAUUUGAUACGAAUUCAGGAAAAUGCAAACAAGGUAUCAGGAUGUUCAGAAAACAUCACCUACAUUUGCAUAUAAUUUUUAUUCACGAAAAAAUAUUGUUUAUACCUAUUUAUUUUUAAUAAUGUUAAUAAAAUUAAUUACCUUGGGUAGUUUAAAUGAUGCUUUUGUCCUGAAUGCAAAUCAUAUGCCCAUAAAGGUAAUGUUUAUCUGAACAUUUUGAUAUCAUAUUUGCAUUUUUCUGAGUUUGUAUGAAUUAGUUAUGAAUUUUCAAAGUUUUGGUCAAACGGUCAAAGGGCAUUCGAGGGACCUCGAUGGAAAAAGUAAGGGCAAAAUUGAGCAAGCUCUAAAAGUAAGGGCAAAACCCAUGGAUAGGAACCAACUAGGGGUAAAAAUGCACUUGUCCCUUCUUUUAAAUAAGCAUCUGGUUCCAUCUUUCUAUCGUUAUUUAAGCCACCUUUUUCUAAGAAGGAUUUUUGUAAUUCUGGAUUAAUAGUACUUAGAAUGGCUUUUUCAUAUUGAGAAAUUCUGUCUAGUGGCAUUCGAUCACAGAAGCCGUUGACAGCAGCAUAAAUCACAACAAGUUGUUUUUCAAUUGGAAGUGGUUCAUAUUGUGGUUGUUUGGGAACUUCCGUAAGCCUUGCACCUCUAUUGAGUAAUGCCUGAGUUGCAGCAUCAAGGUCUGACCCAAAUUGAGCGAAGGCGGCCACUUCGUGAUAUUGUGCCAAUUCCAGUUUUGAACUACCACAGACUUGUUUCAUAGCUUUCAACUGAGCGGCAGACCCGGCGCGACUGAUGGAUAAGCCAAUGUUAAUAGCUGGUCUAAUUCCGCGAUAAAAGAGCUCUGUUUCCAAACAGAUUUGUCCAUCUGUAAUGGAGAUCACAUUGGUGGGGAUAUAGGCCGAUACGUCUCCAGCUUGUGUUUCAAUCACGGGUAACACAGUCGAGCUACCUGCACCUGUCUGGUCCGAUCGUUUAGCGACUCUUUCUAAGAGACGGGAAUGUAAAUAGAAAACAUCCCCUGGGAAAGCCUCACGGCCUGGUGGUCGGAGUAACAAUAAUGACAUUUGUCGAUAUGCCACCGCCUGUUUACUUAGAUCAUCAUAUAUAAUUAAUGCAUGCAUUCCAUUAUCGCGAAAAUAUUCCCCCAUGGCACACCCUGAAUAUGGGGCCAGAAAUUGCAGAGGAGCAGGAUCCGAAGCGGUGGCUGCUACAAGAAUGGAAUAUUCCAAAGCAUUCGCUUCUGAAACAAUCUGAACUAAUUGUGCCACAGUCGAGCGUUUUUGUCCAAUCGCAACAUAGACACAAUACAAUGUCUCACUCUCAUUUGUGCCCCUUGAGUUCAUUUGCUUUUGGUUUAAAAUAGUAUCGGUAGCUAUUGCAGUUUUUCUAGUUUGUCUGUCCCCGAUUAUAAGUUCUCGUUGACCACGACCUAUAGGAACCAGGCUAUCCACUGCUUUUAAGCCUGUUUGCAUGGGUUCGUGCAUAUAUUUACGUUCAAUAAUCCCUGGGGCUUUCACUUCGACACAUGUUCGUUCGUGAUCGCUUAGAGCCCCCUUUCCAUCAAUAGGUACUCCCAAGGCGUCGACCACAUGGCCUAACAUGGCCUUUCCCGCAGGAACAUCCACAAAUAGAUCCAGUGCGCUUGACAAGAUCUCCUUCUUUAAUAGCGGUAUCACUACCAAAGACAACAAUACCUACAUUCUCAUUCUCAAGAUUUAAGGCGAUUCCUUUCACAUCACUGGCAAAUUCCACCAUUUCUCCUGCUUGAAUCUCGUUCAAUCCAUAAACAUGUGCAAUCACAUCUCCAACUGAGACCACUCGACCAAUCUCAUCCACUUGAAAAUUCAUGUAAAAGUUGGUCAUUCUACUUUCUAAUAGAGUCGUGAGUUCCGCAACUCUAGGUGAGAAUUCCAUACUUUAACAAAUUAGAUGGAUGAUAUUUUGAAGGGAGAAAUCCGCUUUCAAGAAAAAGAUCUUUACUUCACACAAUCUCGAUUUGAAUUCUCAUUUGGUGAACCGGGCAUCUCGGACAAAGACAAUAACAAGAAGAGAUGGGAAGACCCUUCGCGGUCCUGCUCCCUGGUCUCUACCUUGCUUACCGCCCCUCGUAGGGGCCAGCAUACCCAUACCGAAAACGAUUCACUCUUUUUAUGGGCGCUUUCGACUAGGCUCUCAUUAAGGAAUCGGCCCAAACAAGACCGAGAUUCCCGCGAGAAUUGCUACGCUGCCUACAGUGAAAUUGCAAGAAUCACUUUAUAUGCUAUUUCGAAAUCGAAUGAAUUGAGCAACUAUAUUUCCCCAGGUUUCCAUUGGAAAAGUGGCUUUUUUUGUAUGCAAGUGAUGAUCGAUUGGCGGAGAAGCCGCUCCCGUGUGGGGUGGCCGUGAGAAUGAUUCUGAGUCUUCCUGACCAGACCCAUGUGGAACUUGUAAAUAAAUAGGUUUGUAAGUGCCUAGCUGAGUAAUAAGAUAAGUACCUUUGCUAAUAAUCCAAAACCUUUCAUCUUCUCUUUCUAGAUAUAGCAGCCUACCCAUAUUGAUAGUGGAAUUAUUGAUCUCCUCUUUUGGAUAGCCCAUUUUGAAUAAGUGUUAUGGGUAAGGGCUUGACCUACCAGUUGAAUGGAAUCUACCGUUCUUUAUGCUCUUGCUAGCUUUGAACUUGUUUGUACCAGUAAUCAAACCCAGAAUCUCAUUUCCCAUUGCUUUCAUCACAUAGAGCCAGAUGCCGCAUCCAUAGCCUGGUUUAGGUCUAGGUCAUAAUGAAUUUUCUGAUACCUUCCUUCGUCCAUAGAUCAGCGUUAUGCUUCUGUCCCGUGAUGAAGAAGGAUAGAAGAAUGGUAAGAUAGGAUCAUAUUAGUGAGCCGUGGGAAAAGAGUUUUUUCGUACCUUGAUUGGACCCACCCAAAAGCAACAGGAAUCUCUUUCUCCUCCUAUAAGGAAAUCUCAUCAUUUCACUCUUCUUCAAGUACCAUCAGAUUAGUCAACUCAAACGCUGAGAGAUUACUAUAGAACCAAGGCUGCUUUGAGGCUGGCUCCACUCUCCAAAUAGAGCAGUUACUUCGUUGACGACAAGAACCCCAUUUCUGCUAGCCAAAGAGCAAUUCAUUUCUUUGACUCUAUGCCUCCUCAUUUGCUCCCAUUCCCAUACUAAUAAAAGAAUUAGGGAAAUGCGAGGGAAAAGAAUGCCAAAAGCAUUUAGAGAUUUGACUGGGAUUCAUUCUGGCUCAGAUGGAGAGGGAUUGCUAUAACUAUUUUUAGAAGCAUUAAUGAGAUCUCUUUUUUUCUUCAUAAGCUUGCAUCAUGAAUCCCACUUCCCACUUUACCUGCUUCUUUAGAAGUCUCACAUCUCGGUUUAAGAAAGUGCUCGCUAUAUUCCCAUACCUUCCUGUGCUUAAUACCUAGCUUCAAAGAGCCACUCUUUUAUUUCAUAGCCGAGAGGCAUGAACGGUUGGGAAAAACCCUCUCCUGUGUGGGUCGUAAGAGUCGAUUAUCCAAGCGAGACCUUAGAGGGGAGGACACACCAUAGCACCCAUUGGUAGACUAGACUCCGGAGCUUCAAACAAACUUACAGUAAGCCUAAUCAAAGCAGGCGCCCUCACCUCCUUCACCGCCGGCGUCUACGGUUUGGGUGAAGGUAUCAGCUCUGAUAUCAUGUGUUAAAAAUUCUUCCCAUUUUCCUGUGAUAGUCAAUAAACACAACCCUUACGUAUCCGUAUUUUGUAAUCACCUUUCCCUUCCCGUCGCUUCCUUAUACAAGAAUUCUGAUGACACGUGCAACCCCGGCUACUUUGCUACCCUACUAUUAACAAUUACGGAGUUUUGAUUGUUUAUCCAAUGCAGCUUAAUAUGGUUAUGCCAGCAAGGAGCAUGAACUGAAUCUGGUUAUUUACUUAGAAGAGGAAACGUCUAGUCAGCAGAGCAGCACAACGGAGUCAUCAUAUUAUCAUAUUCUUGAGUCUCUCCCCACAGGAUGACCGCUUCCACCAGACUCUAUUUCUAUUGGUUCACCUUAGAUUUAUUGGUUGUCUACAUCCGUCUAAUCCUUAUCUAUAAGAACAUAAUCGCUAAGCUAUGGAUGCUUCAGCCGCACUCUCUACUCAGCUAUCUGUUUCUACUGCGUUGCGUUUUGAAGGCCCGAUACAAAAGAAAGUGGCCUUACUUAUUAGUAGUGAUGGAGACGUCAGGUCCGAGAAGGAAUAACCUAAAGCCAGUGAUAUAAUCUGUACAACCGGCAGGAGCGAUUGAUCAGAUAUCGCAGGAAGAGUGAACUAGUAGGCUUAUUGAUCCUCCUAUCAGUGGUAGUCACAAAGCCCGCACAUUCCAAUUCUAUCAUAACAUGACUAGUUUCCUAAGGCAUGACUUAACUUCCCAGAAUAGCAAGCAUAUCAUAGCUAUUUCACAUAGUGUCCCGAGAUAUCAGUAGCUCUAGUCAAUGCUGGCCUUACUCUUCCCUUUCCUUAUGCAAGUGGCAACCUCUUGUUUAAGAGUGCGGAAUCCUAUUUGUGUAUCAGAAGACUAUGGUGACCCGUAGAUCUUCUAUUUCACUGGAAUUCGUUGAUUGUCAUUUACAAUGUUCGUUGUAAGAUCACUGAAGGUCCUAAAUUGGGAGAGUUUGCUUGCUAUCGAACAAAUAGUGGAAUCUAAAAAAACAAUGAAAUCCAUUCACACAAGCUGGACCAUUGCCUUCGGCAACGCCCUAAUUCCUUUCCUAUCUUUCUUCUUUUUCUCAAGGACCUGUAAGAAGAAGCAAAUCCCUUUCUUGAAUGGCCGAGGAAGAGGCGGCACUGAACAGAACAAGAUCCCCCUCUACCUAUCCUUGGGGUUGUGCGCAUUCUUAAACUUGAGCUGGGUAGGACUCAGGAGAAGGGUGCCUCGGGAGAUAAGUAGUUCCUCACCUAAAGCCCUCGUAGAGUCUAAGUAGUGGACCAGAAAUAUGACAUCCUUCCCGCUGUACUAGAUUUUAUCUGGUUAAAGCCAGGUGUGCACAUUAUAUUCAUUAUAGAAGAUAUAGAAGAUACUACCAUGCCAGCUGUUUCUUAUUGGUAAGCUGGCUUUUCGUCGAAUGUCUCUAAAGAGUGAUGGUGAGUCGAGUAGCAUGAAUUGUCUAUCCAAGGGGUCGCUAAUGCGUUAUUUGUAUAGGAUCUCAGUUAUUAUUGUCAGCUAGAUCUACAUAAUAUGCUUCACGUGGAGCCCUUACUUGGUUCGAUUGGCAUUUUUCUUAUCAUCCAUCCACAUAGGGAGAAAGGCCAAGGGCCCAGUGGAGUGAUAAAAUGAACUAUCCAAAUUAAGCUAAUCCUGUGUCCAAGUUCAAACCCCACAUAGCCACUCUUCUUGAUCCCCCACCAUCACUUGAACCGAAGAAUCAACCCGUUUCUUUGCCAAUGGGUUUCUGCACAGAGAGCUAGAUUAGGGAUCGGAUCUGCACCUUUCACUAGAUUAAGGUACAAAAUCCCUUACUAGGUUUGGUAAGUAUGUUAUGAAGGUGAUAAGUCAUCAAACUUCUCGGUAGUGCAAUGGAUUAAGGUAAAUGUGCUAGCUUUCCUCCUGCUGGUUGAUGAAACCGGACCUAUCCCAUAUCUCAAAAUGGCCCCGUACACUCCAAUGGGAAGUACAGAAAAGGGGAAGUGCAGAAAAGAAGGAUCCCCAAAUCAGAGGGUAUAUAAACAUUGUUUGAUUAAGGGAAUUAGAGAAUAGAGAGCAAUGGGAUAGGAAAAGCUCACGGGAAUGCAGGUACCGUUUCCCAGGGAAAAGAAAAGGGAACUUCACCUCUUCCAACUAAUAAGAUAAGGCAAUCCAAUCCUGAUUCAAGAUCAUGUUGUCUCAACAUAGCAAUGCGUGUUAUGGCAACCUGAUUGUGAUAACAACAUCAAAGCCAAGAAAUCAAGGUCAAACAGUUCAUUCCGUCAUCAACUGUCAAUUCUUUCGAAAGACAUGCGAAUGAACUACGCAUUCGAUCCUUAUCAGCAAGGUCAUCACUUGUACCAAGUCUUAGAAAGGCAGCUGCGGCAUGUCUUCUCUAUGACGUUAGGGCAAGGCUGCCUCGCCAGCAAUGGUUAGUGCAGUAAGGAUAGUCGAAUGUGAACUAGCUUGCUCUACUUGCGGAGAAAAACCAACCAAGAGGCGAUGGAACCCUCAGAAAACUGCUAAUAUUGCCCCGGGCAGUACUGGCCAUAGACUUGAGCGCAAAGGAGAAGAAGGCAGGAUAUGGAAACAGCAAACACAGGGAUAAUCCAGGAAGUAGCAAAGAAUCUAGUAUUCCACUAUAGAUAGGUCUAACAGAUCAACAUAUCCAUGAAGAAUAGGCUGACCCUAUCCACCUCCUUUGCGGAAUACCAGAUCAAGAGAUGAAUUAGCGGAUCACGGGGCUAAGUCGAAGCAUGCCAGAACCUUCUUUAGUAGUGAGCCGUACCGACUAGCUCCUAGCAAGGGCUUCAAGAUCACAAAAUGCCUGCCAAAACUUUCCAUGGGUAUGAAUGUCAUGUUCAAAGCAGGUUUCUCUAGACACCUUGGAAAAGAUCACUGACGAGCUCAAUUUCAAAGUGUGAAUGAAAUUAUCAGUUUCAUCCUCUUUAUGAGCCUGAGAUCAUAUGGGUCAACAAUUCUCUUUUCUUAGUUAUAGAUUCUAUAUUCUCAAGGAAGUGAGCCACUCAACCCCAGCCUAGCGGAUUCUCCCCGUUACCUGGACCUGCCUCUCCCGCAGUCAAAACUCUCCUCUACAGCCCCUCUGGCUGGGCCAGAAGCCUCGUCUCCUUUAACUGAUUCAAGUGAUUAAGUAAAAAUGAAAGUAAUCUCACAUAAAAUUGGAUUAUCUAAAAACUCGUGAAAAUGACAACGCUAAAUCGGAAGUCCUUUAUUUAUAUACAACACACACAUAUUCCUCCCUUACGAACAUGAAAAUCUAGUGGAUGGUUUGGAAGGCUUUGACCUGAUCUUUCAAUUUAUAAUGAGAGAAAAUCCCUAGAAAGAUGGAAGUCAUCAUCAUCCCCUUUAUCGAUCACAGCCUCUUCCCCCACCCAUGAUUUCGUUUUCCCAUUGACAAAUCAGACGAAGACGAACUUGCAUUUGUUGAAUCAAGAAAAAGAAAAGAAGUGUUCUCUUUCUCCAGUGAAAAGAACAGUCUAGCAGGAAGAUCCAAACACUUACUAUAUGUGCGUUUAUGUAUCAACUCUUAUAUAGUCUAGUUUUCCCGCCCUAUCUAGAGAAGGAAUCAAUUCCCCUUUUUGAAUGUACAAAAAUUGGUAGAGCUCAACAUGUCUGGAAGCACAGGAGAACGCUCUUCUACUUAUAUUAUUACCAGUAUUCGAUACUGUGUUAUUCAUAGCAUUACUAUACCUUCCUUAUUCAUUGCGGGUUGGUUAUUCGUCAGCCCGGCUUUCACUUGGAAAAAUAGGAGAUUUAGUUCCACGCUUUGAUUGGUAGUAGAAGGGAGGGCGCGUUGCCAACCUACAUUUUUCUUGGAUAUUCAACACUAAAUGAAAUGCAAAUGCAUAUGAGAGAACUUCAAACUACUUUACUUAUUUGCAACAGCAAGCUGAAUAAUAGAAUAAACAAGCAAGGAAGGAACGAAAGAAUAGGGUUGUCGCUGAUACGCUGUUUGGAUUAGAUGUCGCAAUAUCGGUUGUAGUAUUUCCACUCUUUCUAUAAGCUAAGAGAGAUGUCGCAUAAUCGGUUGUUCAUGAUCUUAUAAUUCAUGGACCAAAGUCGCAAAUCGCUUGUUCUCAUUCAAGCAUGAGUUCGUUCAAAGUCGGAAAGGGGAAUCAGAGAAAGGGCUGUUUAGGUAACUAUCAUGACCAUGGGAACAUUUGUUCGCUUUCUAGGUACCCCCGGAUCUACUAGUCAUCGCCUUUGAGCUGGGAAAAGCAUUUACCCUGAGUCGGCUAUUCCUGAUUCAGAAAGGAAAGGUAUGUGGGUAGACAUUGAGUUAGAGAUUGAAUGAAGGGGCACACUAGAGAAAAGCAAGGACAAGUAGCUACUUGACUAAUGCUUUUGAGCAUGUACGCUGGCGCUCUUUGAUAGAGCAUUAUCUACAACCCUGAAGCGAACUAUGAAAAAGAAAUCUAGCAGUCUCUUACAGAAAUGAAUUGUAGCAGGGCUUGGUCUCGAAAGGUAUAGAUACCACCAGAAGCUUGGAAAGAAGAAGGAAUGUCGACCUACCGCUUCGUGGGCUUUGAACCGUGCUUUUCUGUCAAAUUCUCAGACGCUAUAGGUGUGUAAAAACAGUACUCGAUUUCUCACUAGAAAAAACAACAGUCUUUAUUGUUGUGUGCAUAUUAGUCACUGAUUAUAGCUUUGAAUAGGACAAACUACUUUAGUAGCUGUUGACUAUUGCUUGAAACAAGCGUUGAAGCAAUGGAAAGAAGCGAACUGUUAAGCUAAUGCAGCAAGAAAAGGGAUGCAGCAAGUGUCCAAAAAUCGGAUAUGCCCGGUGAAAAUUAGAAACAAGGCUGAGGAAGGAUUUCGUACUGCCACAAUGCUCUUGAUAGAAGGAAGCAUGAAUACCGAAGGCCUACCUAGUUGAAAUAGGAACAGCUAUGGAAGUCCUCGGCCAAACGAAUAUUUCACGGAAAGCCGACAAGGGAUUUUCUUAAUAACUGGGCGCUUUGAUUCUUUGGAACAACUCGAUGAAUUUAGUAGAUCUUUUUAGGAGGCCUUCCAUGACCAUAGAUCAAACCUAUCCCAUUUUGACAGUAAGAUGGUUAGCUAUUCACGGAUUAGCUGUACUGGAAUGACAACACAUAUGAGAAUCUGUACACAAUACAGAAUAACGACACGACACGCAAUCUUAUGACUACAGUAUGGCCUUCAUCUUUGACAGCAAUCAUGUCAGGCCGCGGUAUUAGCGUUAGAGAAAGGAAAGGACUUGAGGUUCGUCCACCUACAACUAAUAAAGCUCCGCCUUUGGGGACUACUACAAUAGAUAGGCAUUUGAAGGACCAAACCACCUACUGAGGACUUUGACACCCAGCCCUUAAUAAGCAGAAUCUACAACUUUGGGAUACGUAUUUACAGAUUGCAAAAGAUAGAUACAAUGUUGUUACCCACCAUGCAUGCAAAUCUUAGUUCUAUGGACUACUAGUACCAGAAACGUCAUCUACUACUGCGAAACUCCCGGGGGACGCUUUUCUAACUGGUUUAGCCUCUAGAGUGGGGAGGAAGAACACCCUCUAGACCAGGAUAACUUACUAAUUCAAUUGACAAAGCGUCCUAUUUGCUAGAUUUCUAGUCGUUAGCUCUUAGUGAAGACGAAUUGCUAUCAUCUGCGGGCGGCCCUCAUUAUUGAAUUUAUCCGCCUUCGAUGCAACCAAAUUCACUAUUGACUUACGAGCUUAUGCAUGCUUCAUUCCUAUAUUGGCAUGUAUUAUCCGUAGGCUGGUUGUGAGACAUCUUCCUCUUAGUGCUACAAAUGGCUUCUUCCGUAGUUCUUUAUAGCUCUUUCACCUCUUUUAGACUCUUUGCAAUGUUCAGUGCGGGGAACUCUACACUAUUGUACUCAGAUGCUAUUCCUUCAAGAAAGUAUCGGAAAGCAAAAAAGGGACUCGUUCACCGUAUCGCGUCCAAUACAGCUAUGCCACAAGUUGAUCUAACCAACUGGUAAACAAAACCCAAGUUAAGAGAUCGACCUAGGAAUAGGAUGAAUAGAACCAUUGAAUCGUCACCCAAUGGAGCAGAGAGCCUUCCUUUAAGAAAGAAAUAACUCCCUACAACAACCGUGUUUCGAAACUCGAUUCAUUAUCAUACGUGAAAUUGCAUGAAAAGAACCUUCAUUCCUACAGAGAGGUUGAAGCUAAGUUUCAAGACCUAGUACGGGCAAAGCGCAGUUCAAAACCGAAAGGAUCAAAGAAAAGGGAAUAUCACGAAGGUGAGCACAUUCUAUUUUCCUUAAUUGACAAAGCAAAGGGAGUUAUCAACCCUUUUUUCCGAAACCCUAUAACGGCUAGUUCCCAAUGCUCGGCUUCCUACCUCCUCUAACAAAAUCAAAGGAAAUAUCCUUCGUUUUCCAAGAAGAUAAGUUCUACGACAAAGGAUGUCAACGGAACAGUUUCGGCAAAGGCAAAGCCCGGGAGAAAUCCAAUAGCGUAUGGCGAUAAUGUCAUCCCCACCGAAUCUUCAUCUUCAAAGCAUUUUCUUGCAAGGUCCUAUCGCGAAAGAACUCAAGCCAAUACUUUUUCAUUUUCAUGUAGUAGAUCCUAGGAAACAUACGUACGAGAUAUUUACCGCCCUUCUUCGGCAAGGGUAUCCGAUAAAAGGAGGGCGAUUCCUAAUCUUUUGAUCGGCAAAGGGUUCGAUGCAUUAGUUUUCGACUAUGAACGAGUCAAUCAGCUAGAUCCACUUGCGGCAAACGGCACCUUCCUUUCCCAGCCAAUGGUACGUAAGGCAAUGGUUGUUAUUGAAGUUCUGAUCAGGGAAUACCCUAGGUUUCGGCUUUUUCCACGGUUCCGUAACGGUAGGUUUCGGCUCCUUGCUACAUCCCUUCCGCUCCUACUAAGGACGCUGCUGAACCGAUAGAAUUUGCCGAGCGAGCACUACCAUAACUUAUGGUAUCUGACCCAUGUUAAGCAUUAGCCAUCCAGGGAAUGAAACUAUGUGACUACCUGCGCUGUCACACGGCUCCAUUUAUCGAACAAAGGGAUAACUGCCAUUAAGGCAAUGAAAUUGACGAGGAAGAGUCAGGAGUUUUGCUGCGCCAAAGCAGAGGAACGGAGGGAAGCAGCUACCGCUGCACGGGUCCUGCGCAUUAUCAAAACCAGGCAAUGUAGUCAAUGAACAAACGUUUCGUUUACCACUGGGGUUGUUCAUAUGCACAGUCAGCUCAAGUAACGUCCAGAGGUGUUAAUACAAAGCAAGAAUUGGAUUCUAAGUAUUGCCAUUUCGUGUUCAGUAGUCUGAAGCACAUUAUUUGCGGGAAGCAGCGAGGAAGAAAAGCAUACCAUAUUGACGGUAGUGCAGAAUGAUCUCUGUCACGAUAUCGUACGUAUCUCCAGAGCACGAACGUACGGUAUACAACCGAGUUUCCCGAUGUCGGACACAACAAACUUUCGAGCACCCUGUUCAUUUAGCCUGUUAAUUGAUGGAAAGAAAAUAGAGGUCUGCAGCAAACAAGAGCAAGCGACACUAAACUAGAGUAGUGAUAAAUUGGCGGAACCUUCUGAUAAAAUGACAGAUUGGAAACCAACAUGUCCAGAAAGUCUGAAGGAUAAGGCUUCUCUCAUCCAAAGAACGGUACUGAAGGCGAAAGAUACUCCAAAAUAUGUCAUUGGAUCCAGCUGCAACAAUGAAGAGCGUCGUCUUGAAGAAAUCACUUGCUGCUUCCUCCACCAUGUUCUCCAGUAUCUGGUCUUUUUGAAGUAGCUUAUUAGCUGAUAAGCACUUGCUAAGGCAUCUAGCUGAUGAGGUAAUCUCUGCAUAUAGUACCAACCAAGUUGGUUGUUGUUACUACAUGCUGCGAGCAUUUGGGAAAAUGACAGAAACAUAAAAUGGGUUUCUAGCUGCAUAAGCACAAUUAUACAGAAAGCAGUCUCCUUUAUUCGUAUCUGGGGAAAGGGUUGGUUCUCCAAAUUCUCUUUAAAGAAUGUUAAAGCAGUACUAUAAUUUUCUGGUGAAAUGGAAAGUGGUUGCUACCAUAUUUUUUGUAGUGAUUACAUCAUAAUCCUCAUCUUCAAAGCAAGGCUAUCCACCAGGGCUUCCAAUGCUAGGCUAACCUCGGCAAAGAACCCAAGGGAUUUGCAAAUUCUUGAAUCAAUAGACUUUCGUACAACGGCAAGCAAACAGACGCGAUAGAGGGUUUUACGCUACUUCACAGUCAGCAGCAAGAGUGGAUGGUAUAACUCUAGCCAGCAGGCGGGAGGGAACGAAGCUCUUUCCUGAUCUUGAGCUAGAAUCCCUGACGUUGGUUGAUUUAGUUGUGGUGUAGCUUAGGAUCUUAAAGCUAUGAAGCUGGGUUGAUCCCUAUCGAUGGAAUGGAGCUUAUCAACUCAUGAAUAGCAUGGAUCGCCUUCUACUAUACCAGGCUAAGGUGCAACAAUGGAAGCAUACCAUGGAUAAUCCAGAGAUACAUCCUACCUAUGCCGAGAGCACGAAGAUCAAGCUAAGUAAACAAGUCUAGUUAAAGCCCACUGGAGUAAGGAAAAUACAAUAGGUUGCUUUUUUUCCCACCAUACCUGGCAAUGAUUGGUAUCCCUUGAUAUGUUAUCACAAACUAACCAGUUGUCCCUUCCCCUAGAGGGGUUUCCUAUAUUGAUUCGUUCCCCUGAGCAAUUUCCAUGAAUUGACGUAUAUGAGCGUAGUUAUCAGGUACGCCGGGAGCUAGAUUCUAUCCCCGGGGAUAGUGAUUGAUGGCAUAGAGUUUUGAUAGGAAACUCGUAUCAAAAUCAUACCAAAAGAAAGUCUCGAUUCGAGGAACGGAAUACAGGUCCAUGAUAGAACAUAGACCGGUAAGAGAAAGGAAAGUAAGCAUAGUCUUCAUUGAACCGGAAGAAUAAUUAGAUUUUCUGUCAACAAAGUAAUACUGUGCAAACUCAUCUGAUCCCUAUUUGGGACUUCUUCUUCAUGUCACGAGCCGGAAUCGAACCGGCGCUUUCCAGAUGCAUGGUCCGGAUAGAUACCUAUCAGAUCGCGACUUUGAUUUCUCAGUUCAAGAGGAGACCUCCCUACAUCUGCGGGCUGGCGGACCUGCCGACCAGCCGACACAAAAUCCAAUUCGAGUUUGAAAUACGGAGCCAGAAAGAGUCGAGUUAGAAAUACAGAGCCAGAAAGAGUAGAGUUAGAAAUACGGAGCCAGAAAGAGUCAAGUUAGAAAUACGGAGCUUAUACUAGUUCAAUGAAAAAAUGGCGAAAAAGACUUAGAAGGGAAAAUACCAAAACCGCAUAUAAAAAGACAUAAAAAAAUGAAUAUACAUAGGUACCAUAGGCAAAAGAGGCUGGCUGCUCAAAUAAUUAAAAUGCAUUUGAUAAAACAUAUGCAUUUGAUAAAACAUUUGCAUUUGGUAAAACAUCUGCAUUUGAGAGAAGUUCAAGUAAUCCAUAUUUGCAUUUGCGGCGACAAAAUUAGGAAUCUGAGAAUAAGGGUUUGGAUUAGGGGGGGAGGGGAAUUUAUUGAUUCCUCCAACUCCAUGUAGUUAGAACUCACACUUUCAACACUAAAAGCCGGCCCAUUGACCGAGUUUGGGUAUGACGACGAAGGGUUAAAUUCCACAAUCAUUCCGUCCAUGGAAUCCGGGAUAAAAAAGGAUCCAUCGUGACCCCCCAUCUUGUUAAGCUCUGCUCCCAAACUAAAGAGAAAUGAAAGGAGACUGAUCUUGACGUCGGUGUCGGUUUUUCCAAUGAAACGAAUAAGUUUUGGAUUGAGAUUUCACAUAAGCAUUGCACAAUGAUCCGCAUUAGGCAGGGAGCAGCAAUGAUACCGCCGGCCAGGAAUAAGUACCUAUCCCUCUUAUACUUAAGAAAAGAGAAGAGAAGCUGGUGUUGAGAAAUGAGAAGUGGGCUAUAUCUUCGGGGACUUUUUAAAAGCAGCUGAAAGGAAAUGAUGCUUCCUUUCUAUACGCUAAUUCUUGCUUUGAAGAGAUGUUCCAUACAAGGCAUUCUUAAGUCCCACCUCACCUAUAUCCAACUUUAGGUAUUCCAUUGUUUCUAGUAUAAUAAGCAGGUUUAAGCCAUGGAAGACAUGAGUCACUAAAGUGUUGUUAACUAGAUCGUGAAAGAUGUGCCAAAGAGGUUUUCUAGCACAUGGAAUAGCACUCGCAGGGGCAUCCUGUCAGUCGCCAGGCCAUGCACAUUUGAAAGAAUUCCCACACACAAUGGGAGCCGUUUCAACCAAUUCUGCUCUAUGUUGCAAACUAGGGGGCAUAAGCUACCAAACCCCUGGCUAAGAAUCUAUAUCAUACCGAGCAAUCAUUCCAUCUUCUUGAGAAGAAAGAACGCGUGAAUCCUUGCUUUGAGCUCACCUAUGAGUGCACCUAACAAGGUUUUCCAGACCUAAUAAACGUUCAUUGCAAAGAAAUGUUGACCUCUGAUUUAGAGAGGAUCAACCACAAUUUGAGAAAAGAAAAGUGCACACCGGCAUUAUGCCUCGUAAAGCUACCCCCAUUCAUAGCUUUAUUCACUGUCUGCUCGAAUAGCUUCAUUUCAAUGUUAGGAUGACCUGCAAGGUCGUCUAAAAUAGCUUCCACCUAUCUAGUUUCCAUGUGGCACACCAACCACAAUCACUUCAUCCCUUGGCUUCUUUAGCAUAGCUGCCUACCUCUUCAGAUCAAGGAUCAAAGACUACAGAAGCUCAAAGUUAUUGUCGCACACUUCCAUCUAGGAGAUGCAUGUUAAGCUAUCCCUUGGAUUAUAGCCUAGGAGAUCGAUUGGCAGGCCUUGUUCUAUGAAAAGAGUAUCCUUAUGGUUUAGGAACCCCAACAUCUAUUGAAAAGUAUGAUGCACCCCUCGGUUUACCAACAUUUCCAUUCAAUCUCAUUUAGAUUCUAUUAACUAACAAGCCGGGAUCCAAUUCCAUUUCAACCGCUGAGGUCAUUAA